rnacentral:lncRNA from 1 species
GAUUUAAAAUGGAAAAAGGUGAUCCAAAAUUUUGAAAAUGUGGAGGAAAUAUAUGAAAUACUUGGUAAAUAUUUUAUCUAUGAAUUUUUAUCCAUCUUUAUUAGAAUUAGAAUUAUAUGUACAAGAAACAAGUGUGGUAGUUUUUUUUUCUAAGGUGGAAUUAUUAAGAAAUAAUAAAAAAAAGCUUUCUUUCUCUGAAUUAGGGAGUUGAGACUUUCUUGCUCUUAAGUCUGUAGUAAGGUCAAUAAGAUCACGAAGGAGGAGAUUGAAUUCUUUCUUUUUUCCAUGUUGACUCAAGUCGUGAUAUUAACCAUAUUGUGAUACAUACUUCGAUAGCAAUAGAAAUCAUCGUCGAUUUCAGCUACCAUCCAUGUACGAUCCAUACUAGAUGGACAACCAUUAUACCUGCUCUAUAUUCUUGAAAGUUCAUUUUUGUCUUCGUAGAGUGUUUUAUCAGCACAUUUCAAUCUUUUUUCCCAUUUUAAAAUUAGUGAGCCAUUAUUUCAUGUACAAAUAUUAUUAUUACCGCUUGAACAAUUUUUUAACAAUAAAAACAAAUAUAGCCUCAUACUAGAUAUUCCGCCAUUUGUCUACUCUUAACUUUGCACACUUCUUAAGAAACUAUAAAUACAAAAGUAAUUUUACUAUAUCAGAAUAUAAUAAAUACUAUGUCUUGAAAAAUGUAAUAGAAAAAUAACUAUAACUAAUGAAAAGUGUGAAUUAAGAACUAAGUGUAAAAUUAUCUAUCAAUUUCAUAAAAUAAACAAAUAUUGUUGGACAUCCCAAAAUAGUAUAGUGAACAACUAUUGUCGUACGGAAGUAGUCGUAAAAUGGAAUACAUGUAUUUUGUACGAGCAAGAGGAUUUUUAUCUCAAUUCUAAUAGUUCAAGGAUAUUUUUGAACCACAAAACCAAACGGAGAGCAUUUUUGUUCUAUUUUCAAUUUUCAAUGGUUAUUUUAAACCCUUUUCCCGUUAAUUAACCCUACCUAGGGUUUAAGAUAGAAAUCACCCCAAAUCCCUCGACUUUCUCUUCUUUCACUUAUCAAAUUACUCUUCAAUCUUCAAUUUUUUCUUCACGAUUUAGCUGAAUUUAGGUAUAAUUCCAUAGUUUUCACUUCCAACAAUGCCAAAUAAGAGUAAUUCGAAGAAGCCUAAACCAGUGGAAGUAGCAGCAGCUGCUGUUGUAGAAAAGGAGAAACCAAUUUCUUCAUCCAAACCCAAAAAGCCAGGCAGUGAAAUCGACGAUAUAUUUGCCGGAAAAAAGAGGAAGAAACCGGAAUUACAAGAAAAAUCAAGCGGAGUUGCUGUUACAGAGCCGAAAAAGGUGAAGAAAAGCAAGGAAACAAGUAGUAGGAUUCCGAAAGAUAAUGUGUUAUCUGAGCCACGACGUCGGUCGAGGAAGAAAACGGCAGAUGGGUUUACUUUAUACACAGAAGAGGAGUUGGGUUUUGGGAGGUCUAAUGCUGGAGGUACUUCACUUUGCCCUUUUGAUUGUGACUGUUGUUUUUAGUGAAUUUUGAAAGGAUUGUUUGAUAUUGAAGGAAUUAUAUCAGUUUUGUAGUGAAUUUGUAGUAGUAUAUGUCUGUUUUGAGGAUGAAGUUUUGUUCUUUUAACUGAUUGGUGUAAGUUGUAUCAGUUUUAUUUGAAUGCAUGAGGAAUUUUGUUUAUAGAUGUGAAGUGUUCGUUUUGGUGAUGCAUAUUCAAUUGUCUGAAUUUUUGAAGCUGAAAAGUAUAAACUUUUGAGUUGGGUUUGUGUAUUCAUGGAAUUGUUCCCAAUACACUUAGAGAUUGAAGAAAAAUCUGAGUAAACGUGAUUGUAUCUGUAAAAUGGUCCAUGUAACCUAAAUUAGGGGUUAUUGCGUUAAGUUUUGAGUGAAAGGAUGUACAUAUGAUUUCCAGUUCUGCAUAAGCAAACUUGGCUGCGGUAUGCUUACAAGUGAAAUCCUAGAUGGUUAUCUGUAACAUGGUCUCCUGGAUCUAUGAAUGGAUGCUGAUGCUGUCUAGAUAUUCUUAUUGCUGAUAGGUAGAUAGACCAUGUAAUGAGGCAUCUUCGCCCGUUUCUCCUAGUCAUUGACAUACUUGGUUUUGGAUAAAAGGAGCUAGACAAUGUGAUGGAAACAUGCAUGCGGAGGAAGUAGUCCAGAUCACCAAGUUCAUCGAGGAAAAAUUAAAGCACAGACCAUAAAACCAAUCUAACAAUAAUUUUUUUGGAACCUGUAAAGAUGAUAUCUUUGGUAUAUCUAUGCUAAAGGAAAUAAGUAACUAUACUCAUUGUGGGAGUUAAGCAUAGAGUUGUUUGACCCACCGCUGCAAAAUCCAUGCUUGUAAAAAAAGGAACAAAAAGAGUAAUUAGGCUAAAUUUUUUGGUUAAGGCAGUGGAAUAUGCAGCUUGCAAACUUAGGUAGACUAGUAAGGAUCAACAAGGUCUUGCGGUUGCUCCACGUAAUCAGCAGCUACCCUUGAGAAGAGCAUCUUUAAUGUCGAACUGACAAAUGGUCCAGCGUGAGAGAGAGAGAGAGAGUUGUCGUCAGGAACAGGACACCAAUGACUGUGGUGUCUAGGCCAGCUUCGUGCACAUCGACUAAUUCCACGGGAUACCUGUCACCUCCCACUAGCAAUAGGUACUAGGUAACUCUGCCUAGCAAGGCUAGGACAUAGUUGUCGUCACUUUUAUACUAGAGAAUAAUGGAACCCAGAAGCUGAGGAUAAAGGUGACAUCCCUACAUCUGAAUGAUUGGGAUGGACAAAAGAGCCAAAUUACCAACCAAAUCGUAAAUUUUACACGAUGGAGCUGUGCCGAUAUGAGGGAAGAAAUUUGCUACAAAACUGGUUGCUGGACAGGCCCAAGGAUGUGUUGAUCAGUGAAGAAAGCAUGCUGAAACUGUUAAUUUUGAUUAUGGUUGUUGGUCAUUACAUUUGUCGUAGCCAGGAUGUUCAUGUUCACCCCCUUCUGCAUUAUUUUAUUGUUAGAUGUGUUCAUGAAUGACUGCUAAGGCAGGAAGGUAUAAGCAGUUGCAUCAAGAUAUGCUUCAUAUAUAAUCAGCCUUGGUCAUAACUUUGCAAAAGUUAGAGAUGAUAUCAUGCGAAAUGUCAUGAUAGCUAAGGCAUCAGAGGAAAUAGGUAGGUAGACCAGUACGAGUACAGUGUAGACACUGUGGGUGUAGGACGCACGUCUAUGGACAAGCUCAUGAAGCUUACCUAUAAACACAUAAGUAGUCAGGUCCCUAACUUAAUGCAGGAAGUGGUAUUUGGCAUCAAUAUCAUCCAAGCAUUGCGACAAUCAGGUAAUUAUAAAGAAGUGGGGAUAAGACCAUAUGGAUCAUUGCAUGUAUCCAUCUGAAUGGCAUGCUUGUGCUGUUUAAUUGGUUCCAGAUUUGGUGAUCUAAUGAAGAUGGUUCAUCAUCUGGGAGUUUGGAGUCACCGAUCUGACCAACAUUUCCAGGACCAGUUAGAAAAGAUCAAACCACUUCGAGUAGUUCCUUGACGUAGCAUAUCUGCAAAUUGGAACAAGGUCCUUAAUGUGAAGAAAGGGUCCAAACAUGAUGGGGAAGAAAAAAAUUAAUGCGCUAGGAGCAAAAGCAGCAAGUCGAAGGCUAGAGAAUGGUGUUGGCAGCAUGCUGAUGGCAAUCAGAGCAAUGUGUGAAGGCUGGCAAAAUGGCACCUAAAAGUGUCAUGGAGGGAGAAAAGUUGAGGUGUUUGUCGGAGUAACCCGUAAGUCAGUAGCGCUGAGGAGAGGGACUGAGCGUGCAGCUAGAAAGAGGAGAGAAAUUAACCUAAGGUCGUAAAAGAUAUAAAAUUACGAGCAUCAUCACGUGUUUUUAUCGAUUUGGUUCUUUAUAUAGCUGAAACAUUUUCGUCUGACUAGUCGACUAAACGAUUGUUUUUCCAGCUAGCUCAUCCUGGAGGCAUUCAUAAAGUGCCUAUUACUUGUUUGAACUGUGAAGAAUUACUUGCACAAUUUAGUGUAAUGCACCAAUUUCAUUUGCUUGGAAUAUUCUAAAAGAGAGUGAUAUAAUUUUUGGAAUAAUUUCAGAGACUCUAGUUUUCGCUUCGUAAUACUGAUCUCCUUUGUCUCUCACAAUAUUAUGCUUACCUCCCUUAUUUUGAUUUUUUUUAAUAAUUCGUUUAACAUUGAGGUUUAUGUACUAACUAAACCAUUGACCAAAGUUUUAGUGCCGACUUUCCUAAAGACCUUUUCUUCCCUCUUCAAUUAUGGGUAAUAUUCGAUACUCCAUCCCUUAUGUGGCACCUUUAGUAUUUCAAGAUUCAAACGAGUAUUAAAUAUUUCAUGCCUGAAUUCAUGGUUAAAAUUUAAUUGUUUGACUCUCGAAAUUUGAGUUGUGCCAUGUAAAUUAAAACAAAGGGAAUACUAUUUAUGAAUAGUUAAAUUUAAUGAAGUCUAAAGGAGAUAGAAUCAAAAAUAGAGAAGUAAAAUGUUAAUGAGACUUUUAUCAUAAGCCGUUGGCGAUAAUACAUGAUUAGUUUUUUUAUUAUAGAGAUUGAGAUAGUUUGAUAAAAUAUUUUGGGUAAUUGUAUAUUUGAACGAAAAAUAAAUAAAUUCAGACAUCUUUUGCUUCUACUUGAUUUUUCCAACUUCUUUUUUUCACACAAUAGAUAUUUCCAUUUUCUUUUUUUCACACAAAAUAGAUACUACUACUAUGCAAAGAAGUUUUUCUUUUACCAACAUGGGUUAUGGUGCACUGGUGGGAGUGCUUCACCUUUAAUCAGAGGUCUCGGGUUCGAGCCUUGGGUAUGGAGAAAAUCUUGUUGGGAGCGCCACCCCCGAAUGGGCCCUGCAGUGCGCAAUCCGGAUUUAAUCGGAGUUUCAAUGUGGACUCCGAACACCGGGUGGUGUGAAACCAAAAAAGAAAAAGUUUUUCUUUUCAAAUUUAUUGUCCAACACCUUAAAACUCUUCUGGUAGAUGUUUGGAUUUGCCAAUCAUGAAACAUUGUUUACAUUUCACUGUUAUCGAUUCUGUUCAUUGUUUCCUCUUCAACUUGAGAUACAAAGCAACCAAGAUUGCAUGUGGUUAAUGAAGUGGUUGAAAAUUCUGAUAUUUCAAGUUUAAAAUUCAGUGAAGAUAAAAAAUAAAAAUAUCAAGAUUCUUUUUUUAUCUAUUCUAGUCUUAGUGAACAGAGUUACCUGGUACAUGUUGGUAAUGGAUGUGACAGUUAUUCCAUGAAAUUAGUUGAGAUACACGAAAGUUGGUUUGGACACUACGGUCAUUAAAAAAAAGAGCUUGACAAAAAACUUGGAAGAUAAAAUCUUAUAUGAGGGGCACCUUGAUACUUGUUGCUAAUGGAAAGUGACAUGAAUUUUAUGGAAUUAAUUGAAAUGUACGAAAGUUGAUUCAGACACCAUGGUCAUUAAAGAAAAACUUGACAGAGAACUUGGAAGAUAAAACCUUAUAUGAGGUGCACUUGGAAGGUGAGGUUGUAUGUACCACUCCCCCAGGUCAUUACAAAGGGUCUUGUAAAAGUUUUGCGAAAAAAGUGUCUAGAAAUCAUAUUACCGGAAAAUUCAUUAACUAACACUCAUGAAAAAUUGAUAAUCGUCUAAUUCCUGUUGAGUGACCCCUAAAUGUUAAAAAAAAUGGCAUGAGUUAUGGUGAGACUAUAGGAAUUAUUCCCCAGGUCCUUAUGGAUAAUUCUGUAAAAGUUGAGAAAAAAAGGUGUCCGGAAGCUAUAUCACCAAAAAAUUCAUAGGCUAACACACAUGACAAACUGAGAAAUAUCCUAAUUCGUAUUGAAUGACCCCUAAAUUAAAAAAAUGGUGUGGAUCAUGGUGGGAUUAAGAAAUUUAUGUGCUAAAAUACACGAAAAACUAAGAAAAUCGCUUAUUUAGGAAUUACGCGACUUUCUCGAUUUUUGGUAUGUAUUAGCCCAUGGAUCGGGGCCUUGGAGGACCCAAAUUUUUUUCCUGAAAAAACUUUAUGAGGACCUCCGUAAUGAGUUGGGGAAGCAUUACAGUCCCAACAUUUUAAAGCCUAUUUUUGAACUUUUGGAAAUUACACGACUUUUCUAGUUUUCGUGUGUAUUAGCCUAUGAAUUUGGCGCCUUAGAACAACUAAAAAAAAUUCUGAAAAAAACUUUAAGAGGACCUCCAUAAUGAGUUGGGGAAGCAUUACAUACAUAUGGUCCGAUCAUUUUAAGGCCUAUUUUUGCGUUUAUCAGCCAACUUUUUAGGAAUUACGCGACUUUCUUGGUUUUUCGUGUGUAUUAGACCAUGGAUUUGACACCUUAAAGCACCCAAUUUUUUUUUUGUUUGAAAAAGACUACGAAGAGCUCUAUAAUGAGUUGGGGAAGCAUUGCGUAUAGUCCCACCAAUAUAAGGUGUAUUUUUGAAUUUACUAGCCAAUUUUUAGGAAUAACGCGACUUUUCCAUUUUUGGUGUGUAUUAGCCCAUGAAUUUGGCGUCUUGGAACACCCAAUUUUUUUUCCUGAAAAAACUUAUGAGGACUUCCAUAAUGAGUUAGAAAAGUAUUACAUAAAGUCCCACAAUUUUAAGGCUUAUUUUCGCAUUUACCAAUCAACUUUUAGGAAUUACGUAACGUUCACGUUUUUUCGUGUGUAUUAGCACAUUAAUCUGGCGCCUUGGAGCACCCAAACUUAUUUCUGAAAAACUUUACGAGGACCUUCGUAAUGAGUUGAGGAAACAUUAUGUAUAGUCCAACAAUUUUUCUAAUGCUUAUUUUCAUAUUUACCAACCAACUUUUAGGAAUUACGCGACUUUCUCAAUUUUUCGUGUGUAUUAGCCAUCAGGUGCCUUGGAGCAACCAAUUUUUUUGUGAAUUUUUUUUAUUAGGACCUCCGUAAUGAGUUUGGGAAGCAUUACGUACAAUUCUACAAUUUUUUAAGGCAUAGUUUCGCAUUUACAAACCAAAUUUUAGGAACUACGCGACUUUCCUAGUGUUUCGUAUUUAUUACCCCAUGGAUCUGGCGCCUUAGAGCAUCCAAAAUUAUUUUCUAAAAAACUUUAUGAGUUCCUCCGCAAUAAGUUGGAAAAGAAUUAUGUAUAGUCCCACCAUUUUUUAAGGCCUAUUUUCGCAUUUUAAAGCCAACUUUUAAGAAUUAAGUGACUUUCUCGAAUUUUCGUGUGUAUUAGCCGAUAGAUCUGGUGCCUUGGAGCAACCAAAUUUUUUUUCUGAGAAAACUUUAUGAGGACCUCCACAAUGAGUUGGGGAAACAAUAUGUAUAGUCCCACCAAUUUUAAGGCCUAUUUUGGCAUUUACGAGCCAACAUUUAAGAAUUACGCGAUUUUCUGAUUUUUCGUGUAUAUUACCUCAUAGAUCUAGUUCCUUGGAACACUCAAUUUUUUAAAACAAAUAAUUUUAUGAGGUCCUCCAUAAUGAGUUGGGAAACAUUACCUAUAGUUCACCAUUUUAAGGCCUAUUUUUGCAUUUAUGAGCUAACUUUUAUGAAUAAUGCGACUUUCAUGGUGUUUCGUGUGUUACCCAUGAAUCUUGCGCCUUGGAACACCCAAAUUUUUUUAAAAAAAAAAACUUUAUGAGGACCUCCGUAAUGAGUUGGGAAAACAUUAAGUAUAGUCCUUCCAUUUUUAAGGCAUAUUUCUCGCAUUUACGAGCUGACUUUUAAGAAUUACGCAACUUUCUCGAUUUUCGUGUGUGUUAGCCAUGGAUCUGGCGCCUUGGAGCACCCUAAAUUAUUUCUGAAAAGACUUUAUGAAUACCUUCGUAAUGUGUUGGGGAAAUAUUACUUAUAGUCCUCCUAUUUUAAGGCCUAUUUUCGCAUUUACCAGCCAAAUUUUAGAAAUUACGCGACUUUUCCGAUUUUUUUGUGUAUUAGCCCAUGGAUCAAGCGCCCUGGAGCAACCAAAUUAUUUUCUAAAAAAACUUUAUGAGUACCUUCGUAAUGAGUUGAUGAAGCAUUAGGUACAAUUCCACCUUUUUAACGCAUAGUUUCACAUUUACAAGCCAACUUUUAGGAAGCGACUUUCUUAUUUUUUCGUGUGUAUUAGCCCAUUGAUCUAGCGCCUUGGAGCACCCACAAAGUUUUUCUGGAAAAAAACUUUAUGAGGACCUCUGUAAUGAGUUGGGAAAACAUUACCUAUAGCCCCGCCAUUUUUUAAGUCACAUUUUCGUAUUUUCGAGCCAACCUUAGGAAUUAUGCGACUUUCCUGAUUUCGUGUGAAUUAUCCCAGGUAUCUGGCGCCUUGGAGAAUCAAUUUUGUUUUCUGAAAAUCUUGUAUGAGGACCUUCGUAAUGAGUUGAGAAAGAAUUAAGUAUAGUCCCACCAUUUUAAGACAUAUUUUCGCAUUUACCAGCUGAAUUUUAGGAAUUACGUAAUUUUCUCGGUUUUUCAUUUGUAUUAGCCCACAUAUUUGGCGCCUUCAAGCAUUCAAUUUUUUUUUUCAAAAAAAACUUUAUGAGGGCCUCCGUAAUAAAUUGGGGAAACAUUAUGUAUAGUCCGACUAUUUUUUAAGGCAUAUUUUCACAUUUACCAACCAACUUUUAGGAAUUAUGCGACUUUCUCAAUUUUUCGUGUGUAUAUUAGUCCAUGGAUUUGGCGCCUUGGAGCACUCAAAAUUAUUUUCUGAAAAUUUUGAUGAGUACCUGCGUAAUGAGUUAGGAAGCAUUGCAAUUAGUUUCACUAUUUUUCUAAUGAUUAUUUUUGCAUUUACCAACCAACUUUUAGGAAUUACAUGACUUUCUAAAUUUUAGGAAUUACGCGACUUUCUUGGUGUUUCGUAUGUAUAUUAGCCUAUGGAUAUACUCCUUAGAGCAUUCAAAAUUAUUUUCUGAAAAAUAUUUAUGAGUACCUCCGCAAUGAGUUGAGGAAGAAUUACAUAUAGUCCCACCAUUAUUAAGGCCAAUUUUUGCAUUUUACAGCCAACUCUUAGAAAUUGUGCGACUUUCCCAGUUUUUCGUGUAUAUUAACCCAUGGAUCAAACGCCUUUGAACAACCAAUUUUUUUUUAAGAAAAAACUUUAAGAGGAACUCCGUAAUGAGUAGGGGAAGCAUUACGUACAGUGACACCAUUUUUUAAGUCAUAAUAUUGCAUUUAGGAGGCAACUUUUAGGAAUUACGCGACUUUCUUGUUUUUUCAUGUGUAUUUGCCACUUGGAUCUAGCGCCUUGGAGCACCCAAACAAAUUUUCUGAAAAAACUUUAUCAAUACCUUUGUAAUGAGUUGGGAAAACAUUACAUAUAGUCUCACCAUUUUAAGGCCUAUUAUGGCAUUUAGUAGCCAAAUGUCGGAAUGACUCGACUUUUCAUGUGUAUAAGCCCAUGCAUCAGACAUUUUUCAACACCCAAAUUUUUUUAUUGAAAAAACUUCACGAGGAUUGUUGUAUUCUGAAAUUUUUUUUGAUGCUUUGAGGCGCCUGAUCAAUGGGCUAAUAUACAUACGAAAUAUAGAGAAAUUUGCGUAUUUCCUUAAAAAGACCUGUAAAUGCGGAAAUAUGAGUUAAAAAAUGGUUGGAGUAUAUGUGAUGGUACCCCAACUCAUUACGGAGGUCCUCAUGAUGUUUUUUGAGAAAAAUUUCUUACGGGCUCUGAGGCGCCAAAUCAAUGUGCUAUAAUACACAUGAAAAAUUGUGAAAUUUACGUAAUUUCUAAAAAAGACCUGUAAAUGCAAAAAUAAAUGUUACAAAAAUUGUGCGAGUAUACGUGUUGGUUCCCUAACUUAUUACGGAGGUGCUCAUAAAUUUUUUUGUAAAAAAAAAAGUUUUGAGUGCUCUGUGAAGCCAGAUCCAUGAGCUAAUAUAGGGGUGCACAAAAUAUUUACAUAAUAAAUUGUUAACUUUGAAUUUGAAAAACUAAAACAGUAUAAAUUAACAAAGUAUAUUAUAAAUAAUAUUUUUUAUAUAUAAAUAAAAUAAAAUUAUAUAUAUAUAUAUUAUGUCGGUUUGAUUUGGGUUCGAUUUGACUUUUUUUCUUUUAAUAUCAAACCAAAUCAAGAAUGAUCGCUUUUUUUUUUCAAUGCCAAACCAACCAAACCAAAUUACAAAUCGUUUUUAUUUCGAUUUGAUUUGAUUCGUUUGUUCGGUUUGACUUUAUAGUUUGGCUUGUACACCCCUAGGCUAAUACACAAGAAAAAUUGAGGAUUUUAGGCGAUACCCAAAAUGUAUGUAAAUACGGAAAUGGGCUUUAAAAAAUAUGUGUGAGUAUAACUGAUGGUUCCCAAACUCAUUACGGAGUUCCUCAUAAAGUUUUUGAGAAAACAAUUUUAGGUGCUCCAGGGCACCAGAUCAAUGGGCUAGUAAAAAUGAAAUUGAGGAAGUCCCACGAUUCUUAAAAAAUGGCAUGUAAAUGCGGAAAUAGACAUUAAAAAUAUGGUGUGACUAUAUGUGAUUGUUCACCAACUCGUUACAGAGGUCCUCAUAAAGUUUUUUGAGAAUUUUUUUUAGGUGCUCCGGGGCGCCAGAUCCAUGGGCUAAUACACAUGAAAAAUGAAGGAAUUUACGCGAUUCCUAAAAAAAGGCAUGUAAAUGCAGAAAUGGACGUUAAAAAAUGGUGUGAGUAUACGUGAUAGUUGCCCAAUUUAUUACGGAGUUUCUCAUAAAGUUUUUUGAGAAAAAAAUAUUUGCUCUGGGGUGCCAAAUCCAUGGAUAAUACACACGAAAAAUUAAGAAAUUUGUGCUAUUUCUUUUAAAAGCAUGUAAAUGCGAAAAUUGCGUUAAAACUGAUAUGAGUAUAGGUAAUGGUUCCCCAACACAUUUCAUAUAGUCUCAUAAAGAUUUUUGAGAAAAAAAAUUGGGAUGCUCCGGCGCACCAGAUCAAUGGGUUAAUACACACGAAAAAUUAAGAAAAAUGCGUGAUUCAUAAAAAGAGUCCUGAAAAUACUGAAAUGGGUAUUAAAAAUGGUGUGAGUAUACGUGAUGGUUUCCCAACUCAAUUCAAAGGUCCUCAUAAAUAUUAUUUCAAAAAAAUUAGGUGAUCCAAGAUGCCAGUUCCAUGGGCAAUAACACAUGAAAAAUUGAGGAAUUUGAGCGAAUCCUCAAAAAGGGCAUGUAAAUGCAGAAACGGACGAUAAAAAAAUGGUCUGAGAAUACAUGAUGAUUCUCCAACUCAAUACGAAGGUCCUCAUAAAGUUUUUUGAGAAAAAAACUUUGGAUGCUCCGGACGCCAGAUCCAUGGGAUAAAACACACGAAAAAUUGGGAAAUUUGGGCGAUUCUUAAAAAGGGCUUCCAAAUGCGAAAAUGGGCGUUAAAAAAUGGUAUGAAUAUAUGUGAAGGUUUCUCAACUCAUUACGAAUGUCCUAAUAAAGUUUUUAGAGAAAAAAAAGUAGGGUGCUCUGAACCCUGAUCCAUGGGCUAAUACAGACGAAAAAUUAGUGAAUUUGGGCGAUUCUUUAAAAAAACUUGUAAAUACGGAAAUGGGCAUUAAAAAAUUGGUGCGAGUAUACGUGAAGGUUCUCAACUCAUUACAGAGGUCCUCAUAAAGUUUUUUUAGAAAUUUUUUUAGGUGCUCUAGAUUCCACAUCCAUGGGUUAUUACAUAUGAAAAAUCGGUGAAUUUGAGUGAUUCUUAAAAAUGGGCUUGUAAAUGCGGUAAUAGGCGUUGAGAAAAUAGUAUGAGUAUAUGUCAAGGUUCCCCAACGCAUUACAUAAACCCUCAUAAAGUUUUUUGAGAAAAUUUUUUGGGUGCUUCGGGCGCCAGAUCAAUGGGCAAAUACAUACGAAAAAUUGAUAAACUCUGGCAAUUCUUAAAAAAGGGUUUGUAAAAGUGGAAAUGGGCAUUAAAAAAAAGGUGUGAGUAUACAUGAAUGUUCUCCAACUCAUUAUAGAUGUCCUCAUAAAGUUUUUUGAGAAAAAAAAAUUUGGGUGCUCUGGACGCCAGAUCCAUGGGAUAAUAAAUCCGAAAAAUAGGUGAAUUUGGGCGAUUCUUAAAAAAGGGCUUGUAAAUGCAGAAAUGGGUCUUAAAAAGUGGUGUGAGUAGAUGUAAAGUUUCCCCAACUUAUUAUGGAGGUCCUCAUAAAGUUUUUUGAGAAAAAUAUUUUGGGUGCUCUUGAUGCCAGAUCCAUGGGAUAAUAGAUAUGAAAAAUUGGGAAAUUUGGGUGAUACUUAAAAAUGGGAUUAUAAUGCGGAAAUGUGCGAUAAAAAUGGUGUUAGUAUACGUGAAGGUUCCACAACUCAUUAAAAGGUUCUCAUAAAGUUUUUUGAGAUUUUUUUUUAAGGUGCUCCGGGUGCUAGAUUCAUGGGUUAAUACACAUGAAAAUUGAUGAAUAUCGGCGAUUUUAAAAAAUGGGCAUUAAAUGCGGAAUUGAGCGUUAAAAAAAUGGUGUGAGUAUACGUGAAAGUUCCUAACUCAUUACGGAGGUCCUCAUAAAGCUUUUUGAGGAAAAAAAAUUGGGUGCUCUAGGCACCUGAUCUAUGGGAUAAUACACACGAUAAAUCGCUUAAUUUGGGUGAUUCUUAAAAAAGGGAUUGUAAAUGUUGAAAUUGCAUUACAAAUUGUGUGAGUAUACGUGAAGGUUCCCAACUCAUUACAGAGAUCCUGACAGAGUUUUUUGAGAAAGAUAUUUUUGCGUGCUCUGGUCCCUAGAUCAAUGGGCUAACACAAAUGAAAAAUCGAGGAAUUUGGGCGAUUCUUAAAAUAAGGCUUGUAGCUGCGGAAAUGGCGUUAAGAAAAUGGUGUGAGUAUACGUUAAAGUUCUCCAACUCAUUACGAAAGAUUUCAUAAACAUUUUUGAGAAAAAAAUUUGGGUGCUCCGGGCGCUAUAUCUACGGGCUAAUACAGAGGAAAAUUCGGUGAAUUUGGGGGAUUCUUAUAAAAAAAACAUGUAAAUGCGGAAAUAAACGUUAAAAAAUGGUGAGAGUAUACGUGAAGGUUCAAUAACUCAUUAUGGAUAUCCUCAUAAUGUUUUUUGAGAAAAAAAAUGUGGGUGUUCCGGUCGCCAGAUCCAUGGGCUAAAACAACUGAAAAAUCAGGGAAUUUUGGUGAUUCUUAAAAAAAGACGUGUAAAUGCAGAAAUGGUCGUUAAAAAAUUUGUGUGAGUAUACUGCAAGGUUCUCCAACUCCUUUCGGAGGUCAACAUAAUUCUUUUUGAGAAAAAAUAUUUGGGUGCUCCGGGAGCCAGAUCCAUAAGCUAUACACAUGAAAAAUCGGUGAAGUUGGGCGAUUCUUAGAAAAGGGAUUGUAAAUGCGAAAAUGGGCAUUAAUAAAUGGUGUGACUAUACGUGAAGGUUCCCUAACUCAUUACGGAGGUCCUUAUAAUGUUUUUUGAGAAAAGAAAUUUGGGUGCACCAGGCGCUAGAUCCAUGGGCAAAUACACACAAAAAAUCGGUGAAUUUGGGAAUUUCUUAAAAAAUGGCUUAUAAAUGCAGAGAUGAAAGUUACAAAAAUGGCGUAAGUAUACGUGAAGGUUCCCAACUCAUUACGGAGGACAUCAUAAAGUUUUUUGAGAAAACAAAUUGGGUGCUUCUAUCGCCAAAUAUAUGGGCUAAUACACACGAAAAAUCAGGAUAUUUGUGCAAUUCUUAAAAACGGGCUUCUAAAUUCAGAAAUGGACAUUAAAAAAUGUUGUGAGUAUACAUCAAGGUUCCCCAACUCAUUACGGAAGUCCCAUAAAGUUUUUUGAGAAAAAAAAAAUUCGGUGCUACGGGCCUUAAAUUCAUGGUCUAAUACACACAUAAAAUCUAUGAAUUUGGGCGAUUCUGAAAAAAUGGUUUGGAAAUGCGUAAAUAGGCAUCAAAAAAAUUAUUUGAGUAUACGUGAAAGUCUCCAACUCAUUACGAGGCCCCAUAAAAUUUUAGAGAAAAAAAUUGAGUGAUCCGGGCGCCAGAUCCAUGGGCUAAUACACACAAAAAAUUGGGAAUUUAAGCGAUUCUUAAAAAAAGACCUGCAAAUGCGGAAAUGGACGUUAAAAAAAUGGUGUGAGUAUACGUGAAGGUUUCCAACACAUUUCGGAGGUCCUCAUAAAGUGUUUUGAGAAAAAAAGAUUGGGUGCUCUCGGUGCCAGAUACAUGGGCUAAUUCGCACGAAAAAUCGGUGAAUUUGGUUGAUUCUUAAAAAAAGGAUUUUAAAUGCGAAAAUAGGUGUUAAAAAUUGUGUGAAUAUACGUGAAGGUUACCCAACUCAUUACGUAGGUUCUCAUAUAGUUUUUUGAGAGAAAAAAAUUGGGGUGUUCUAAGCACCAGAUCCAUGGGCUAAUAUACACGAAAAAUAGAAGAAUUUGAAGUUACUUAAAAAAGGCUUGUAAAUGCGGAAAUAGACGUUAAAAAUAUGGUGGGACUAUACGUGAAGGUUCUCCAACUCAAUACGGAGGACUUCUAAAGUUUUUUGAGAAAUUUCUUUUAGGUGUUUCGGGUGUUAGAUCAAUGGGCUAUAACAUACGAAAAAUCAGAAAAGUUGGGCGAUUCUUAUAAAAGGGCUUGUAAAUGCAGAAAUGGGUUGAGUAUACGUCAAGGUUCACCAACUCGAUACGGAGGUCCUGAUAAAGUUUUAUGAGAAAAAAAAUUUGGGUGGUCCGACACCAGAAUCUCGGGCUAAUACAUACGAAAAAUCGAUGAAUUUGGGCUAUUCUUAAUAAAAUGCUAUUAAAUGCGAAAAUGAGAGUUAAAGAAAUGGUGUGAGUAUACUUGAAGGUUCCCCAACUCAUUACAGAGGUACUCAUAAAGUUUUUUAGAAAAAAAAAGAUUGGGUGCUCCAGGCGCCAAAUCCAUGGGCUUAUAACACGAAAAAUCAAGGAAUUUGGGCGAUUUUUAAAAAAGGCUUGUAAUUGCUGAAAUGGGUGUUAAAAAAUUGGUGUGAAUAUACGUGAAGGUUAAUAUACACGAAAAAUUGUUGAAUUUGGAUAAUUCUUAAAAAAAGACUUGUAAAUGUGAAAAUGCGCUUUGAAAAAUGGUAUGAGAAUACGUGAAGUUUCCCCAACUCAUUACGAGGUCCUCAUAAAGUUUUUUGAGACAAAAAUUUUGGGUGCUCUGGGCGUCAUAUCCAUGAGCUAACACACUAAAAAUUGAGAAAUUAUGGCUAUUCUUUAAAAAUGCUUGCAUAUGCGGAAAUGGAUGUUAAAAAAAUAGUAUGAGUAUACGUGAAAGUUUCAAACUCAUUACGGAGGUCUUCAUAAAGUAUUUUGAGAAAAAAAAAUUAUGGUUCUCCGAAAGCCAUAUCCAUGGGCUAAUACACACGAAAAAUAGGAAAUUCGGGCAAUUCUUAAUAAAGGACUUGGAAAUGUAGAAAUGAGCAUUAAAAAAAUGGUGUUAGUAUAUGUGAAGGUCCCCAAUUCAUUACGGAGGUCCUCAAAAAGUUUUUUGAGAAAAAAAUUGGGUGCUCCGGGCGCCGAUCUAUGGGCUAAUACUCACGAAAAAUUGGGGAAUUUGGGUGACUCUUAGAAAAGGAAUUGUAAAUGCGGAAAUGGGAGUUAAAAAAAUGGUGUGAGUAUACGUGAAGGUUUUCCAACUCAAUACGGGGGACCUCAUAAAGUUUUUUGAGAAAAAAAAGGUGGGUUCUGCGGCACCGUAUCUAUGGACUAAUACACACGAAAAAUUGGUGAAUUUUGGCGAUUCAUAAAAAGGGUCUUGUAAAUGCGAAAAUAAGCGUUAAAAAUGGAGUGAGUAUACGUGAAAAUUCACCAAUUCAUUACGGUAGUCCUCAUAAUGAUUUUUGAGAAAAAAAAUUGGGUGUUCUGUGCGACAAAUCAAUGGGCACGAAAAGUCAGAUAUUUUGGGAGAUUAACCAAAAGGAACUUGUAAAUGCGGAAAUGAGUGCUAAAAGUGGUGUGAGUAUACGUGAAUGUUACAUAACUCAUUAACGAGGUCAUCAUAAAGAUUUUUGAGAAAAAUACUUUGGGUGCUCCAGCACCAGAUCAAUGGGCUAAUACACAUGAAAAAUCGAUGAACUUGGGCGAUUCUUCAAAAAAUGAUUGUAAAUGCGGAAACGGGCAUUAACAAAAUGGUGUGAGAAUAUAUGAAGGUUCUCCAACUCAUUAUGGAUGACUUCAUAAAUAUUUUGAGAAAAAAAUUAUUAAAUCUCCGGACGCCAAAUUCAUGGGCUAAUACACACGAAAAUCGAUGAUUUUUCAUUACGAAAGUACUCAGUAAUUUUUUGAGAAAAAUAUAUUGGAUGCUCUGAGCGGCGAUCAGUGGGCUAAUACACACGAAAAUCGAUGAAUUUGGGGGAUUCUUAAAAUAAAAGGCUUGUAAAUCGGCGUUAAAAAAUGAUGUGAGCAUACGUGAAGGUCCCCUAACUUAUUACGAAGGUACUCAUAAAGACUUUUGAUAGAAAAAAAAAUUUGGUGCUACGGGCGCUAGAUCCAUGUGCUAAUACACAAAAAAAUCGGUAAAUUUGGGCGAUUCUUAUAAACGGGCAUGCAAUUGCAGAAUGGAGCGUUAAAAAAUGGUGUAUGUCUACGUGAAUGUGCUUCAACUCACUACGGAGGUUCUCAUAAAGUUUUUUGAGAAAAAAUAUAUUGGUGCUCCAGGCGCCAGAUCCAUGGGCUAAUACACACGAAAAAUCGGUGAAUUUGGGUGAUUCUACAAAAAGAUCUUAUAAUGCGAAAAUGGGCGUUAAAAAAAGGUAUGAGUAUACGUGAAAGUUCCCCAACUCAUUACGGAGGUUCUCAUAAACUUUUUGAGAAAAUAAUUUGGUGCUCCGGGCGCCAGAUCCAAUGGCUAAUACACACGAAUAAUUGGAAAAUUUGGGCGAUUUUUAAAAGAGGUCUUGUAAAUGCGGAAAAAUGGUGUGACUAUACGUGAAUGUUCCCAACUCAUUACGGAGGUCCUCAUGAAGGUUUUUGAGGAAAAAAAAUUGGGUGCUUCGGACGCCAAAUCCAUGGCUAAUACAUACGAAAAAUCGGUGAAUUUGGACGAUGCUAAAAAAAUGGCUUGUAAAUGCGAAAAUUGACGGUAAAAAAAUUGUUUGACUAUACAUGAAAGUUCUUCAACUCAUUACGGAGGUCCCCAUAAUAUUUUUAGAGAAAAAAAAUUUGUGUGCUCCGGUCGCCAUAUCUAUGGAUUAAUACACAGGAAAAAUUGGGGAAUUUGGGAGAUUCUUAAAAAAAGACUUCUAAAUGCGGAAAUGUACGUUAAAAAAAUAGUGUGAGUGUACUUGAAGGUUCUCCAUCUCAUUUCAGAGGUCCUUAUUAAGUCUUUUGAGAAAACAAUUUUGGAUGCUCCGUAAGGUAAAUCCAUAGGCUAAUACACACGAAAAAUCAGUGAAUUUGGGCGAUUCUUAGAAAAGUGCUUGGAAAUGCGGAAAUUGGCAUUAAAAAUGGUAUGAGUAUACGUGAAGAUUCCACAACUCAUUACGAAUGUCCUCAUAAAGUUUUUUGAGAAAAAAAAUUGGGUGCUCCGGACGCCAUAUCCAUGGGACAAUACAUACGAAAAAUUGGUAAAUUUGGGAAUUCUUAAAAAAAGACUUAUAAAUGCGGAAAUGAAAGUUAAAAAAAAUUGUAAAAAUAUGUGAAGGUUCCCCAACUAAUUAAGAAGGUACUCAUAAGGUUUUUUGAGAAAAUAAAAUUGGGUGCUUCUGUCGUCAAAUCCAUUGGCAUUUAAUAUACACGAAUAAUCGGAUAAUUUGGGCAAUUUUUAAAAUAAGGCUUGUAUAUGCGGAAAGGGGAAUAAAAAAAAUGCUGUGAGUAUACGUGAAGAUUCCCCAACUCAUUACGAAAGUCUUCAUAAUGUUUUUUGAGAUAAACUUUUUAGGUUCUCCGGACACCACAUCCAUGGGCUAAUACAUACGAAAAAUCAGUGAAUUUGGUGAUUAUUAUAAAAGGCUUGUAAAUGUGAAAAUGAAAGUUAAAAAAAUGGUUUGAGUAUACGUGAAGGUUCCCCAAUUCAUUACGGAGGUCCCCAUAAAGUUUUUUGAGAAAAAAAAUUUGGGUGCUCCGGACGCCAAAUCCAUGAGCAAAUACACACGAAAUAUCGAUGAUUUUUCAUUUAAAAAGUUUGUAGAUACGGAAAUGGGCGUUAAAAAAUUGUUUGAGUAUACGUGAAGGUUCCACAACUCAUUACGGAGGUCUGAAUAAAGUUUUUUAAGAAAAACUAUUUGGUGUGCCCCGGACGCCAGAGUCAUAGGGUAAUACACACAAAAAGUCCAGAAUUUGGGAGAUUCGUAAAAAAAAACUUGUAAAUGCGUAAAGGGGCAUUAAUAAAAUUGUGUGAGUAUACAUGAAAAUUCGACAGCUCAUUUCGAAGGUCUUCACUGAGUGUUUUGAGAAAAAAUUUGGGUUCUCCGAGCGUCAGAUCAUUAGGCUAAUACACACGAAAAUCGGUGAAUUUGGCUGAUUUUUAAAUAGAGACUUUUAAAUGCGAAAACGGGUGGUAAAAAUGGUGUGAGUGUACAUGAAGUUUCCCAACUCAUUACGGAGGACCUCAUAAAGUUUUUGAGAAAAAAAAUUGGGUACUUCGGGUGUCAAAUCCAUGGGUUAAUACUCACAGAAAAUUGAAGAAUUUGGACGAUACUUAAAAAAACCCUUGUAAAUGCGGAAAUGGACGUUAAAAAUAUGGUGUGAGUAUACGUGAACGUUCCCCAACUCAUUACGGAGGUCCUCAUAAAGUUUUUUGAGAAAUAAAAUUUCGGUGCUCCGGGUGCCAUAUCUAUGGGCUUACACACGUAAAAUAACAAAUUUUGGGAGAUUCUUAUAAAGGGGCUAGUAAAUGCGGAAAUGUGCGUUAAAAAAAUAGUGUGAGUGUACGUGAAGGUUCACAACUCAUUACCAAAAUCAUCAUAAAGUUUUUUGAGAAAAAAAAUUGGGUGCUCAGGACGCCAGAUCCAUGGGCUAAUACUCACGAAAAAUGGGUGAAUUUAGGUGAUUCUUAAAAAUGGGAUUUUAAAUGCGUGAAUGGGCGUUAAAAAUGGUGUGAGUAAUCAUUAAGGUUCGCCAACUCAUUACGGAGAUUCUCAUAAAGUUUUUUGAGAAAAAAAAUUGGGUGCUUCGGGUGCCAAAUCCAUGGGCAAUUACACACGAAAAAUCGAUAAAUUUGGACAAUACUUGAAAAAGGGAUUGUAUAGGCGGAAAUGGACGUUAAAAAUAUGGUAUGAGUAUACGUGAAAGUUCCCCAACUCAUUACGGUGGUCAUCAUAAAGUUUUUUGAGAAAAAUAAAUUUGGCUUCUCCGGACGCCAGAUCCACGGGCUAUAACACACAAAAAACUAGAAAAUUUAGGUGAUUCUUAAAAAGGGGCUUGUAAAUUUUGAAAUGGGGCGUUAAAAAAAUAGUGUGAUUAUACGUGAAGGUUCACCAACUCAUUUCAGAGGUCCUCAUUAAGGUUUUAAGUUUUUUGAGAAAAUAAUUUUGGAUGCUCCGAAAGCUAAAUUCAUAGGCUAAUAAACACGAAAAAUUGGUGAAUUUGGGCGAUUCUUAAAAAAGUGGUUGUUAAUAUCGAAAUGGGGAUUAAAAAAUGGUGUGAGUACACGUGAAGGUUCCACAACUCAUUACGGAGGUCUUCUUAAAGUUUUUUGAGAUAAAAAAAUUUGGGUGCUCCGGAUGCCAAAUUCAUGGGUUAAUUACAUACGAAAAAUCGGUAAAUUUGGGGGAUUCUAAAAAAGGUCUUGUAAAUGCGGAAAUGGAAGUUAUAAAAAUGGUAUAAAAAUACGUGAAGGUUCCCAACCCAUUACGAAGGUACUCAUAAAGUUUUUUAAGAAAAAAAAUUGGGUGCUUCUGUCACCAGAUCCAUGGGCAUUUAAUACACACGAAAAAUUAGAUAAUUUGGGGGAUUUUUAUAAUAGGGCUUGUAAAUGCAGAAAUGGAAAUAAAAAAAAGGUGUGAGUAUACAUGAAGGUUCCCAACUCAUUACGGAGGUCAUCAAAAAAAUUUUAAGAAAAAAAAUUUGGAUGAUUCGGGCGCCAAAUCUAUGGGCUAAGACAUAUAGAAAAUUGAAGAAUUUGGACGAUACUUGAAAAAGCGCUUGUAAAUGCAGAAAUAGACGUUAAAAAUAUUGUGUAAGUAUAAGUGAAGGUUCCCAACUCAUUAUGGAGGUCCUCAUAAUGUUUUUUGAGAAAUUUGGGUGCUGCGGGAGCCAGAUCCAUGGGCUAUAACACAAGAAAAAUUAGAAAAUUUGGGUGACUCUUAAAAAAGAGCAUGAAAAUUCGGAAAUGGGCAUUAAAAAAAUUGUAUGAGUAUACAUGAAGGUUCACCAAUACAUUACUAAAAUCCUUAUACAGUUUUUUGAGUAACAAAAAUUGGGUGCUCUGGGCGCCAGAUCCAUAGGCUAAUACAUACGAAAAAUCGGUGAAUUUGGGUGAUUAUUAAAAACGGGCUUUUAAAUACGGAAUUGGGCGUUAAAAAUUAUGUGAGUAUACAUGAAGUUUCCCCAACUAAUUACGGAGGUCUUAAUAAAGUUUUACGAGGAAAAAAAAUUGGGUUCUUCAGGUGCCAAAUCCAUGGAUUAACACACGAAAAAUCGAAGAAUGUGGACGAUACUUAAAAAUGGGCUUGUAAAUGCGGAAAUGGACGUUAAAAAUAUGGUGUGAGUAUACGUGAAGGUUCCCUAAUUCAUUACGGAGGUCCUUAUAAAGUUUAUUGAGAAAAAAAAAUUGGGUGCUCCGCACGUCAGAUCCAUGGGCUAUAACACACGAAAAAUCGGGUAAUUUGGGAGAUUCUUAAAAAAGGACUUCUAAAUGCGAAAAUGAGUGUUAAAAAAGUAGUGUAAGAGUACGUGAAGGUUCUCCAACUCAUUUCAGAGGUCCUCACUAAGUUUUUUGAGAAAACAAUUUUGGAUGUUCCGAAAGUCAAAUCCAUAGGCUAAUAUACACGAAAAAUUGGUGUAUUUAGGCAAUUCUUAAAAAAGUUCCUGGGAAUGCGGAAAUGGGCAUUAAAAAAUGGUGUGAGUAUACUUGAAGGUUCCACAAGUCAUUACGAAGGUCCUUAUAAAGUUUUUUGAGAAAAAAAAAUUGGGUGUUUCUGGCGCCAGAUCCAAUGGCUAAUACAUACGAAAAAUUGGUAAAUUUGGGGGAUCCUUAAAAAAGGACUUGUGAAUUCGAAAAUGGAAGUUAAAAAAAUGGUGUAAAAAUACGCGAAAGUUCCCCAGCUAAUUACGAAGGUACUCAUAAAGUUUUUUGAAAAAAAAAAUAAGGUGCUCCGGGCGCAAAAUCCAUGGGCUAAUAUUAACACACGAAAUAUCGAUGAAUUUUUCUUUAAAAAGUUUUGUAGAUGCACAAAAUUGGCGUUAAAAAAAUUGUUUGAGUAUACGUCUAGGUUCCCCAACUUAUUUCGGAGGUCCCAUAAAGUUUUUUAAGAAAAAUCAUUGGUGUGCUCCGGACGCCAGAGUCAUGGGGUAAUACACACGAAAAAUCGAGAAUUUUGGUGUUUCGUAAAAAAGGACUUGUAAAUGUGGAAAGGGGAAUUACUAAAAUUGUGUGAGUAUACGUGAGAUUUGACAACUCAUUUCGGAGGUGUUCAUAAAGUUUUUUGAGGAAAAAAAAUUUGGUGUUCUAGGCGGCAGAUCAAUGGGCUAAUACACACAAAAAAUUGGUGAAUUUGGGUGAUUUCAAAAAGAAACUUUUAAAUGCGAAAAUGGGCGAUAAAAAUGGUGUGAGUAUACAUGAAGGUUCCCAACUCAUUACAGAGGUCCUUAUAAAAAAUUUUAAGAAACAAAAUUGGCUACUUCGGGCGCCAAAUCAAUGGGAUAAUACAUACAGUAAAUUGAAGAAUUUGGACGAUAUUUGAAAAGCGCUUGUAAAUGCGAAAAUGGACGUUAAAAAUAUGGUGUGAGUAUAUGUGAAGGUUCCCCAACUCAUUACGGAGGUCCUCAUAAAGUGUUUUGAGAAAAGAAAAUUGGGUGCUCCGGAAUCCAGAUCCAUAUGCUAUAACACACGAAAAAUUAGAAAAUUUGGGCGAUUCUUAAAAAGGAGCUUCUAAAUUCGGAAAUGGGAGUUCAAAUAAUAGUGUGAGUAUAUGUGAAGGUUCACCAAUUCGUUCCUAAAAUCCUCAUAAAGUUUUUUGAGAAAAAAUUGGGUGUUCUGGACGCCAGAUCAAUGAGCUGAUACAUACGAAAAAUCAGUGAAUUUGGGUGUGUCUUACAAACGAGAUUUUAAAUGCGAAAAUGUGCGUUAAAAAUGGUGUGAGUAUACAUGAAGGUUCCCCAACUCAUUACGGAGGUCCUCAUAAAGUUUUUUGAGAAAAAGAAAUUGUGUGUUUCAGGUGGCAAAUUCAUGGGUUAAUACACAUGAAAAAUCAAAGAAUUUGGACAAUACUUAAAAAAGCGUUUGUAAAUGCGGAAAUGGACGUUAAAAAUAUGGUGUGAGUAUACGUGAAGGUUGUCCAACUCAUUACGGAGGUCAUCAUAAAGUUUUUUGAAAAAAAAAAAAUUGGUGUUCCGGAUGCCAGAUCCAUAGGCAUUAACACACGAAAAAUCGGGUAAUUUGGGAGAUUCUUAAAGAAAGACUUCCAAAUGCGGAAAUGGGCGUCAAAGAAAUAGUGUGAGUGUACGUGAAGGUUCUCCAACUCAUUUCAGAGGUCCUCAUUAAGUUUUUUGAGAAAAUAAUUUUGGAUGUUCCGGAAGCCAAAUCCAUAGGCUAAUACACAUGAAAAAUUGGUGAAUUUAGGCGAUUCUUAAAAAAGUGCUUGUGAAUGCGGAAAUGGGCUUUAAAAAUGGGGAAAGUAUACAUGAAGGUUCCACAACUCAUUACGGAGGUCCUCAUAAAGUUUUUUGAGAAAAAAAAAUUGGGUGCUCCUGGCGCCAUAUCCAUGGGUUAAUAAAUAUGAAAAAUUGGUAAAUUUUGGGGGAUUCUUAAAAAAAGACUUGUAAAUGCAGAAAUGGAAGUUAAAAAAAUGGUGUAAAAACACAUGAAGGUUCCCAACUCAUUACGAAGGUAUUCAUAAAGUUUUCUGAGAAAAAAAAUUGGGUGCUUCUGUCGCCAGAUCUAUGGACAUUUAAUACACACGAAAAAUCGGAUAAUUUGGGAGAUUUUUAAAAUAGGGCUUGUAAACGCGGAAAUGGGUAUAAAAAAAUGGUGUGAGUAUACGUGAAGGUUCCCCAACUCAUUACGGAAGUUUUCAUAAUGUUUUUGAGAAAAACUUUUUGGGUGCUCCGGGCGCCACGUCAAUGGGCUAAUACAUACGAAAAAUUGGUGAAUUUAGGCGUUUCUUAAUAAAAGGCUUGUAAAUGUGAAAAUGAACGUUAAAAAAAUGGUUUGAGUAUACAUGAAGGUUCUCAACUCAUUACGCAGGUCCCAUAAAGUUUUUUGAUAAAAAAAAUUGGGUGCUACGAGCGCCAAAUCAAUGGGCUAAUACACACAAAGUAUCGAUGAAUUUUUCUUUAAAAUGGGUUUGUAGAUGCGGAAAUGGGUGUUAAAAAAAUUGUUUGAAUAUACGCGAAGGUUCCCAACUCAUUACGGAGGUCCCCAUAAAGUUUUCUAAGAAAAAUAUUUGGUGUAAUGGGAUAAUACACACGAAAAGUUGAGAAUUUGGGCGAUUCGUAAAAAAGACUUGUAAAUGCGAAAAGGGGCAUUAAUAAAAUUGUGUGAGUAUAUGUGAAGAUUCCAAAGCUCAUUUCGGAGGUCUUCAUAAAGUUUUUUGAGAAAAAUAUUUUGGGUGCUAUGGGCGCCAUUUUAAUGGGCUAAUACACACGAAAAAUCGGUGAAUUUGGGUGCUUUUUAAAAAGAGAUUUUUAAAUGUGAAAAUGGGCGUUAAAAAUGGGGUGAGUAUACAUAAAGGUUUCCCAACUCAUUACGGAGGUCCUACUAAAGUUUUUUUAGAAAAAAAAAUUGGGUUCUUCGGGCGCCAAAUUCAUGGGCUAAUACACACAGAAAAUAGAAAAAUUUGGACGAUACAUAAAAAAGCGCUUUUAAAUGCGGAUAUGGAUGUUAAAAAUAUGGUAUUAGUAUACGUGAAGGCUCGCCGACUCAUUACGGAGGUCCUCAUAAAGUUUUUUGAGAAAAAAAAUUGGGUGCUUCGGGUGCCAGAUCCAUGGGCUAUAUAACACACGAAAAAUUAGAAAAUUUGAGUGAUUCUUCAAAAGGAGCUUGUAAAUACGGAAAUGGGUGUUAAAAAAAUUGUGUGAGUAUACGUGAAGGUUCACCAACUAAUUACGAAAAUCCUCAUAAAAUUUUUUGAGAAAAAAAAUUUGGGUGCUUUGGGAGCCAGAUUCAUGGGCUAAUACACACGAAAAAUCGGUGAAUUUGGGUUAUUCUUUAAAAUGGUAUUUUAAGUGCGGAAAUGAGCGUUAAAAAUGGUGUUAGCAUACAUGAAGGUUCCCCAACUCAUUACGGAAGUACUUAUAAAGUUUUUUGAGAAAAAAAAAUUAGGUGUUUCGGGUUUCAAAUCCAUGGGCUAAUACACACUAAAAAAUCAAAGAAUUUGGACGAUACUUAAAAAAGGGCUUGAAAAUGCGGAAAUAGACGUUAAACAUAUGGUGUGAGUAUACAUAAAGGUUUCCCAACUCAUUACGGAGGUCCUCAUAAUGUUUUUGGAGAAAAAACAAAUUGGGUGCUCCGGACACCAGAUUCAUGGGCUAUAACACACGAAAAAUUAGAAAAUUUGGGCGAUUCUUAAAAAGGGACUUGUAAAUGCGGAAAUGGGCUUUAAAAAAAUAGUGUGACUAUACGUGAAGGUUCACCAACUCAUUAAGAAAGUCCUCACAAAGUUUUUUGAGGAAAAAAAAUUGGGUUCUCCGACGCCAAAAUAAUGGGCUACUAGACACGAAAAAUCAACGAAUUUGGGAUACUCUUAAAAUAAGGCUAGUAAAUGCGGAAAUAAGUGUUAAAGAAAUGGCGUGACUAUACGUGAACGUUCCCUAACUCAAUACAGAGGUCCUCAUAAAGUUUUUGUAGAAAAAAAAAAUUGGGUGCUCCAUGCGCCAAAUUCAUGGGAUAAUACAUAUGGGGAAUUUGGACGAUUCUUAAAAAGGUCUUGUAAAUAAUGAAAUGGGAGUUUAAAAAAAUGGUGUGAGUAUAAAUAAAGGUUCCCCAACUCAUUACGGAGGUCCUCAUAAAGGUUUUUAUCCAUGGGUAAAUACACAUGAAAAAUUGGAAAAUUUGGGUGAUUCUUUAAAAAAUGGCUUGUAAAUGUGAAAAUAGGCUUUGAAAAAUGGUGUGAGUAUACGUGAAGUUUCCCCAACUCAUUACGGAGGUCCUCAUAAAGUUGUUAGACAAAAAAUUUGGGUUCCCCGGGCAUAUCCAUGGACACAAACGAAAAAUUGAGAAAUUUGGGCGAUUCUUAAAAAAUGCUUGUAAAUACGGAAAUUGACGUUAAAAAAAUGGUGUGAGUAUACGUGAAGGUUCUUCAACUAAUUACGGAGAUCCUUAUAAAGUUUUUUGAGAAAACAAAAUCAUGGUGCUCUGGACGCCACAUCUAUGGGCUAAUACACACGAAAAAUCGCUGAAUUUGGGUGAUUCUUAAAAAAAGACUUGUAAAUGCAGAAAUGAGCGUUAAAAAAAUGUUCUUAGUAUACGUGAAGGUUCCCCAACUCAUUACUGAGAUCCUCAUGAAGUUUUUUGAGAAAACAAAAUUGAUUGCUCUGGGCGCUAAUCCAUGGGCAAUACACACGAAAAAUUGGAGAAUUUGGGUGAUUCUUAAAAAAAAGUUGUAAAUGCGGAAAUGAGAGUUAAUAAAUGGUGUGAGUAUCCGUUAAGGUUCCCCAUCUCAUUACGAAGGACCUCAUUAAGUUUUUUGAGAAAAAUAAUUUGGGUGCUCCGGCGCCCGAUCCAUGUUCUAAUACAGACAAAAAAUCGAUGAAUUUGGGCGAUUUAAAAAAAAGGCUUGUAAAUGCGGAAAUGGGCGUUAAAAAUGGUGUGAGUAUACGUAAAGAUUUAACAACUCAUUUCAGAGGUUCUCAAAAGUUUUUUGAGAAAAAAAAAUAGGUGCUUCGUGCGCUAGAUCCAUGGGUUAAUAAUACACACGAAAAAUGGGGAAUUUGGGCGAUUCUUAAAAAGGGGAUUGUAAAUGCGGAAAUGGGAGUUAAAAAAAUGGUGUGAGUAUACGUGAAGGUUUCCCAACUCAUUAGUGAGGUCCUUAUAAAAAAUUUUAAGAAAAAUAUUUUGGGUGCUCCUAGUGCCAGAUCCAUAGGCUAAUACACACGAAAAAUCAGAAAUUUUGGAAGAUUAUUAAAAAAGUACUUGUAAAUGCAGAAAUUGGGGUUACAAAAUUGUGAGAGUAAGGUUACCCAACUCAUUAAGGAGGUCCUUAAAAAGUUUUUUGAGAAAAAAACUUUGGCUUCUCCAGCUCCGGAUCAAUGGGCUAAUACACACGAAAAAUCGAUAAAUUUGGGCGAUUCUUAAAAAAGUGCUAGUAAAUGCGGAAAUGGGCAUUAAAAAAUUGUGUGAGUAUACGUGAAGGUUCCCCAACUCAUUACGGAGGUCUUCAUAAAGUUUUCUUAAAAAAAAAAAAUUGGAUGCUCUGAGCGCCAGAUCCAUGGGCUAAUACACACGAAAAAUCGGAGAAUUUUGGCGAUUCUUAAAAAGGGCUUGUAAAUGUGAAAAUGCAUUAAAAUGGUGUGAGUAUACGUGAAGUUUCCCCAACUCAUUACGGAGGGCCUCAUAAAGAUUUUUAAGAAAAAAAUAUUGGGUGCUCCGGGCGCGAGAUCCAUGGGCUAAUACACACAAAAAAUCAGGGAAUUUGGGCGAUUUUUAAAAGAGGGCUUGUAAAUGCAAGAAUAGGGAUUAAAAAAUGGCGUGAGUAUACGUAAAGAUUCCCCAUCUCAUUACGGAGGUCCUCAUAAUAUUUUUUGAGGAAAAAAAUUGGGUGCUCCGAGAGCCAGAUCCAUGGGCUAAUAAACACGAAAAAUUGGGAAAUUUAGGUGAUUUUUAAAAAAAGACUUGUAAAUGCGGAAAUGGGCGUAAAAACAUGGUGUGAGUAUACGUAAAGGUUCCCAACUCAUUACGAAUGUCCUUAUAAAGUGUUUUGAGAAAAAAAAUUGGGUGCUUCGAACGCCAGAUACAUGGGCUAAUACACACUAAAAAUCGGUGAAUUUAGGUGAUUCUUAAAAAAAAGCUUGUAAAUGUUAAAUUGGGCGAUAAAAAAAUGGUGUGAGUAUAUGUUAAGGUUUCCCAACUCAUUAACGAGGUCCUCAUAAAGUUUUUUAAGGAAAAAAAAUUGGGUGCUCCAGGCGCCAUAUCUUUGGGCUAGUACACACGAAAAAUUGGGAAAUUUGUGUGAUUUCUAAAAAUGGCUUGUAAAUGCAGAAAUGGGCGUUAAAAAAAUGGUGUUAGUAUACGUGAAAGUUCCCCAACUCAUUACGGAAGUCUUCAUAAAGUUUUUGAGAAAAGAAUUUUGAAUGCUCCGGAUACACAAGAAAAAUUGAGAAAUUUGCGCGAUUCCUAAGAAAGGCAUGUAAAUGCGAAAAUGGGCAUUAAAAAAAUAGUGUUAGUAUAUGUGAUUGUUCCACAACUCAUUACGGAGGUCCUUAUAAAAAUUUUUGAGAUAAUAAAUUUAGGGUGCUCAGGGGCGGCAGAUCCAUGGGCAUUAGCACACGAAAAAUCGGUGAAUUUGGGAGAUUUUUUUUAAAUGGCUUGUAAAUGCGAAAAUGAGCGUUAAAAAAAUAGUGUUAGUAUAUAUGAUGGUUCCCCAACUUAUUACGGAGGUACUCAUAAUAAUUUUUGAGAAAAAAAUUAUGUGCUCCAGGGCGCCAGAUCCAUGGACUAAUACACACGAAAAAUUGUAAAACUUGCAUGAUUCCUAAAAUAAGGCAUGUAAAUGCAAAAAUGGUGAGGCUAUACAUACAAUUUCCCCAGGUCAUUACUGAAACAGAAACCUCCAAAAAAGGGCAAUGGUUUUGCAAAAACAAGCCCGAAAGUCGUAUCUCCAAAAAAAAAUUCAUUGAAGUUGCACACGAAAAAUAGAGAAAAUGAACUAAUUUUUUUUUUUUCAGUGGACCCUAUAUGCUAUUAAAAUGGAGCAGAUCAUGGUGAGGCUAUACAUACAAUUUCCCUAGGUCAUUACUAAAGGUUUUGGAAAAAAAAACACAUCACAAAAAAAAUAUUAAAUAACUAACACAUGAAAAAACUUUUAAAAACACAUAAUUUUGUUGAAUGGCCUCUUAGUUAUAUAUAAAUGACGCGGAUAAUGGUGAAAUUAAAAGGUCUUAGUCAUAAAAACUUUUUUCUCAAAUUAAUUUCAUGCAUCUAUAUCUGAAAUACUGAAGACAAGACAUCAGAAGUAUAUUGCAAACUGAAGAAGUUUGAAUUCAGCAUACUAUCCUUCAAAAACAAACUUACAGAAGUAGAAACCUCCAUGAUUUUGAGGUCUCCGCUGGUACUCAGUAAACCAUUUUGAAAUUCUUGAAAAGAAGCAUAGAAUAACAUGCACAAACAUGCCUAGCCCCUAGAAAAUUUAAUUGAGAACACAUCCAACAAAUUGAAAGAUAUAACAAGGAAAACAAUACGCAGCCCAGAUAUGGGGACAAAAACAAACUACAGUUUAAAACAGUGCUUGAUACACUAUAAAACCUAAAGAUAACUAAGCAACAAAAGUAAGAAAUUGUCUUAAAAAGUUCCGCUUAAACAUAUGAAAAAGACUGAUACUAACUCUGAGGUGAUGCUUUUGCAACCCCACCACUAGGUGGAACAGACUGCGAGGUUGGAGCUGCUUCAGAAGCAUAUGCUGGAGGCUGGGAGUAAGCACCAUAGGCACUGUUGUAAGGUGGUGGCUGCUGGCCAUAACUUGGCGGAGCGCCAUAAGACUGGGCACCAUAACCUGGCUGAGCUGGUGGAGCACCAUAGGCAGAAGAGGGAGGUCGCUGAGCGUUGGGAUCAGCCUGGGUAUAACCUGAUUGAGCAGCUGGUUGAGGAUACCCGGGUUGCGCAGUGGGAGGCUGAGCAUAACCAGCUUGUGCACUAGGAGACUGCUGUGGUUGACCAUAACUUGCCUGACUAGGAGGCUUUUGAGCCUGAGGGGCCCCAUAACUAGCAGCAUAGCCUCCAGCUGGCUGUGUACCAUACCCACCUUGAGAAGUUGGGGGCACCCCAUAUCCAGCCUGAGCAGAGCCUUGAGAUGGGUAACUAGGAUUAGGGCUGGGCUGCUGGCCAGAAUGAUAUCCUUGUUGACCCGUGGCUGAUGCUGGUGGAGGUGCUUGACUGCCAUCACUUUGGGUACCAUAUGACGAGUUCUGGCCAUCUGAUGUUGGGUUUGAGGCAUUCCCAUAGCCAGCAGUAGAGCUAUAACCUUGUUGCUGCUCAUAACCAGAACCCUGAUAACCACCAGAUUGAGGGGCAGGUGCAUGAUAUCCACCAUAGCCAUCCUGGGCAUAAGCUUGUCCUUGGCUGUAACCAGAGGCAGAUUGCUGGUUGUAACCAUAGGCACUAGUAUCAGUUGAAGCAGCUGAACCUCCAGCAGUUUGCUGCUGUUGUUGUGGAGCCUGUUGGUUGUAGUAAUCAUACCCACCUGCCUGAGAUUGUUGAUUUUGAGCAGCACUCUGAUCCCAGCCAGAGGCAUAUCCAGCAGAGGCAGGUUGAGGAGGGUAGCCAGGAUAAGAUGGUUGAGAUGGGUAUGCACCAGGCUGACCAUAGCCAUAACCAGAUUGUUGCAUAGGUGCACCAGGAGGGGCCCAGCUUGUAGGAGGCCGGGCCUGAUAACCUUGUUGUUGAUAUCCUCCGGACAUCCCUUGAUUCCUAGCACGAUUCUGCACAAGAAUUGUUGUCUAAACUAACCAAGAAUAUGAUUGAUUCAAGCAUAUUUAAAUAACUCACAUUGCAAGGGCAGACUAAGCCACACCCAGGUAGCAUAAUCAUAGCAGAUAAAACAGUAACUUAUACCACAAACAUAUAACAAUUGAUAUUAGGUAUGCAUCAAGACAGAUGUAAGACUUACUGGUUGGGAGGUACAAACUCCUGGCAGAUGCUCAUCCUCACCCUAUUUGAAGUGAAGGAUACCAAAGCAAAAGGCAAAAAACAAAUACACACACAUUCUAUAUGUAGGCAAGAUAACUCUUUAAGAUGGCAAGAUACCACUAUAAGAUAACCAAGGCACCACUAUAGGCCAAGGGACUUGACCAAUAAUAAAAGAUGAUGGAGUAAUCUGUUCAUUAUGUCAUAAGCAGAGUGUUCAGAUUUUUAUAUGAUAAUAAUAUGGUGUAAAUUUAUAUACCCAGAGAAGACAAAUAACUAUUUCAAUGACAUGCAAAUUAGACAAACGACGAACUUCAAUAUUAAGAAUAAAUAUGUUGUGUUUGCAAAGUAGCAAGAGCAGUUCACCUUGAGGUUCCAAGAUGAGCAAUCACUACUUGAAUUGGGUUCACCCAUAAAAGAAGUGGACCACAGGGGCACCAACAACAAGGGAAACCACAGCGUGAUAAUGUAUGUCAUUAAUAACACUGCCAGAAAGCAGAUUCCUACAUGCCACAUCACACUUGAAGGGCAACAAUUCCGUUUUUCGAUAAUGAGAAAUGCGAACCUAGCAGUACUGCUAACAAUCAAGAGGAGAACACACAAAACUGACAUACUAAUGGUCCUUAAAGCACUCCAAAUCUCAAAGGAAGUUUGAUCUUCAUAGCCAUUACUAAAAGGUCUAUGGAGAAAGGGAAAAAAUCAGAUACUAGCGGAUAAUCAAUAGUAAUGAAUGAGGUGGAUUUUUCUUGAGAGAAACCAAAUGAAGCACUAGAAAAUCCUGAGGCACAAAAAAGUUGUCCUCUGGCUGAAUAAUGACAUCAACAGUAGAUAAUUACACCAAACACUAUUUGUUACAACACUUGUGUAGUACAUUCAUAUAAUAUCUCAAGAUUGACACCCAAAAGAUACAAUGAUAAUUUCAACAAAUCUUAGUUUCCUCCAUUGCAUCCUAGCAAAAUCAGUCCCUCAUUUACUCCCAGAAUAUGACAUUAGUUAUCAAUAAUUAGGUUGGAGACCAUACCAGAACAAUGCUGAGGGAACACCAACACUUAGGGUUCCAUGUUGGUGUCACCAUUGUCCAAUACAUACUAAGCCUACAAAUUUUCCAAUAAUAAUAUCAGUGAUCAGAUACAAAAUUAACCAGCAUAGUUAUAUGUUGUCUCUUGAUAUUAACCAAGUACCCAAACCAAGAGUUAUUGCACAACUCAGAUUAGAAUAAUCCUCAAUAUUAGGGAAAUUUUUAGACAGACUUAGUUACCUUCAAGGAGAACCUCUCCAAAACCUGCGCCUCACAAAAAUCAGAACAUCUAAAGUCCAAUGAAAUAUAGAUCAAUAGACAUUGAGGCAACUAAACAUUUUGAUAAGCCAUCUUAAACCUGAUAAUGCCUUGGGUUAGAAACUGAUCUCUUGCUCCAGCAACAUCCAACUAAUUAAAAAGAACCGAUGGAAAAAAAUGUUGACAUAUGUAGGUGUCAUGUCACACUACAGAUAUAUUAUGUGGAUAACAAACUAUUAAUCCUUCUAUUUAAAGUAAUGAAGCUAUAGUUAAGAGUGGAGCAAAAUACUCUCAAAGACCUAUUUGCAACUAGAAAGCAUAUCUCCAAUAUUAAUAAGAAUACUUCCUUCCAAAAACUGAAGCACAGCAAGAGCCAAUCUCCUUCAUCCAGGGGUCAUUGAAAUGAACUACAAUUCCCAUUAACUGACGCUGUCGACCAAGAAGAGGACUGGCAAAAUGAUAUCUGCAAACACUAUGAAUUCUAGCGAUGCAAGGACGGAUAUAGGUAAUUGACAGCAACAUACAUACAUGAAACUUUCAGAUAUAGAUGAUGAACAUCCUGAUUAAGUCGUAUAUUGGAUUAGUAAUUGCUCAUUCAUGAUGCUCUAGCAACAGAAGUAAACUGUAACUUAAAUGUGUCAGGAAAUUCCACCACUGCUGAAAAAAUUAAUACCACUGCAUCUUCAAGAUGGUAAGAGAUGAAAUUUGAACAUUCAGUAUCAAGAGAACUACAAAAGCAACUCUUACAGGACUAAAGUAUAAAAGUGCAGUCUUCCACAACAUGCAACUUGCAACAUACACACACACAGUUACAAACUACAAACAGCAAAUAACAUACAAAUAUAGACUGUUUAAAAUUUGAAGGAGAUUAAAUGCAUCAUCAUGAGGCAAGAGUUCAUCUACCUUUGCUGCCUAUUAUAUUCUUGCAAUAAAAAGGAAAGAAUAGAAAGUGAUAUCCAAUUACGCAUACCUCACUAAUUACUUCAUACACCAGCUGCUUAGCAGCCUCAAUCUGUUCACUUGACCCAUCAAUUUGAACUGUUCUUUCCUGUGAUGUAUCACCUGGAGGCAAGUGCAAAGGGAUCACCUGUGACAAAGUAGGUAAAGAUAAGAAAGAAAGCUGGAAAAAAAUCUCCUAAACAAUUGCUUCACACACUGCAAAGGACUGUAAUUCUUCAUAAAAGAUAAGUGCCAUUGCCAACCAAAAACUGCAAAUUAUUUGGGAAAAGCAUUUUGCAGUUACCUGAAUACGUGCUCCAGUUCUUGCCUGCAUACUUUUUAUAGUCUCACCUCCUUUUCCAAUAACAAGACCAACCUAACAAAACACGUACCAAUACACAUGAGACAAACAGUAGAAAGCUAACCACGAGACAACUAAACUACAACACUAAAUCUCACCUUGUUGUUGGGGACUUUCAAGGAAAACUGUUCUCCUCCAGAUUGCUGUCCAGGUAAUCUUCGGGAAACUAGACCAGAACCACCUGAAUCAGCCUGUUUCAGAUACAUAAUGCAUUAUUAACAAACUGAAAACAGAUCAAUUAAUGGUCAAAAGCAUGAGAAGAUGGAUAUAAUUCAACAAAAGAAUUACUGGAGUUUGACACUCUUUUAGGUAUUGUAAGGCAAAGAUUAGUACCUCAGAAAGAACCUCAGUAAUCAACUGUUCAGCCUUAGCUAUUUGGUCUGGAGUACCCAUGAGUUCAACUGCUCUAUUUGUAGAAUUAGGAUCAGCAUCCAUGUCUCUAGUAACCUGAAUUUUGGCUCCAGAUUGGAGUUGAAGAUACUUGAUGGUCUCCCCACCUUUUCCUAUAAUCACACCAACUCUGCCAUUUGGUAUUUCAAUCUUCUUGCUUUGCCCCGGAUAACCAUAUGAACUUGUAACUGAAGGAGUAACAAUGGGCUUGUCUGCAGUCAAGAAAAGCCACAGAUAUUUAACAUCUCAACAAGAUCUUAUAAUAAACCAGAAUUGCUAUCAUAGUGAAAUCUAAAACCCUACUACCUUGCCAACUAAUCACAUCAGUGGUAGCCAAUUUACAAACACAAAUUUGGUAUGGAUAAUUGUAUUUCAUCAAAAAUAUUUUGUAAACAGAUUAUUUUUGGUCGGGUAUAGAAGUAGGUGAAAAUUACAAUAACAAUGAGCAAUAAAAUAACACUUCGGUAAUUAUAAAAAAAAAAAACUUCAUUUCCUGAAAAUUGUUCUCCCACAGCAAAAAGGCAUAAACACAAAUCAACAACAACAAAAGGAAGUAAACUACAACGGGCUGUAUAAGAUAUAAGGAUACCUGUAAAUAACGAACUCAAAUUCUUCUUUUUGGUGUCAAUAGAGCGGUAUCCAAAAGGAAAAGAAUUUCAGUGAGAAAAUACAUCUUUUUAAUUUAAAAAACAUCUCACCUUCAUCUCAAAAACCAUCAUAAGAGAGCACACAAAAUCAAUUACAGAAAAGGACAGAAAAUUCAUAAAUCGUGUAAACCUGACUACCGUACAAACUAAUUAAAUCAAUCGUAGCCAAUAUAAACACUAUUUUGAUAUUGGGUUUAACGAUAUCUGUAAAAAAUGAACUUCGUUUUAAUAGUGCAGUAUCUCUAACAGUAAAGAAUUACAGAAAAAAUUACAAUUCUUUAAAUAAAACUCAAUUUCGUGUCAAAGCAUCCAAAGAAAACAGACAAACUACACAAAACACAAAAUCCAUAACAGCAAAAGGCUAGAAAAAGCUCAUAACCCUUACGUUCAUAGGAAUCAUAUCCACCAGCACCAGCACCACCGCCGUUAUUAUCAACUCUAGGUUUCUUAGCUUCAGCACUAUUCAACAACCUAGCAGCGAUCUCCUGAGCCUUCUGCUUAGCCAACUGGAAAUCAUCCAUGGGCGGCGGAACAUUGUUGUAAGAAGAAGGAGGAGCAGCACCAUCAGAAGGAGAUAAGGAAGCGAUCGGAGCAGAAAAUCCAGUAGGUCUACGUGGACCAGGAGACGGUGUCGUUUGAUCAUCGUACUUCCUCUUGUUGUUACCGGCUUCUGGUGCUCCGUACUGUGCUUCUUCCGCCAUUGUUGCUUUCGAUUUGCUCAGAUUUGGGAGAAAAAGGAGUGCAGCGGCGGUAGGGUUUUCGAAACCCUAGUGAGAGAAGUAGUAGUAAAGAGAAUGAACAAUUUCGGGUCAACAAUGAGUUUUAUAUGAAUUUGACCCAUGACUAGAUUAGAUAUUUUUUUAUUGAUAGAAAUUGGGCCUCAAGUCUCUCCCCGAUCUAUCUAAGAUCGUGUCCUAAAGCAUUGGUAAGCUAUCUAUGUUCGGAACAAAUUUUAGGUUCAUAUAAUUUAUAGUGUUGAUCGAUUGUAGUUAUACAAUCUUGAAAUCAAGUUUAUGUGUCUUGAUCUUUUUUGAAUUACUAAACAUACUAUUUAUGUUCGUAAUUUCUAAUUGAAUCUGUUGAAAUAUUGUUUGUUUAUCUAUAACAUAAUUCAUAUACAGAUAUUAGUUUUUACCAAUUCAGAUAUGAUAAAUCAAAGCUUUCAAAUAAGAAGUCGUGAUGUGUUUCAUUAUAAUUUUUCAGUGCUUCCUGUUAAGUUGAUGCAGAGUCUUAUCAAAUACUGUUUUGUUGUAAAUUCUUCUCAAGUUAUGCUUUAAAAUGAUUUUGUUAUGCAAUAGAUCAUAUUCAUUAUCUAUAACUGAAUGAUGAACAGUUUUCAAUGAAUUACCGUUACACUAGCAACAUAUAAGAUUCUCAUUUUCAGCAAUCUAUCUUUAGUUGAUAAUUACCUUUUAGACCAGUGAUAGCAAUCAUAUGGAUUUUGACAAGAUCCAUACAAUCAUACAAACUGUCUUUCGAUUAAAACAAGAUAUCUCGAUGAUACCGAGUAUUCUUCAAAAGUAGUAAGAUUAUAUUUCUUGUAUGUGUAUUAUACACUAUCUUACUUGUGUCCAGAACUUUAAAAAAUUUAUAAUGAUAAAAAUUACUUCCUGUUUUUGUUCUUUUCAAAUAUAGUAAUUAAAUUUGUCGUGAUAUGUUUAUUAACAGUGUGAUCUCUAUACAAUUUUCAAUUUUUGGACGUUCAAAUAUGAAAAAUCAAAUCUCCUAAAUUAGCAAUCACAAUAUGUUUUCUCAUAAUCUUCAAUGCUUUUUGUUAAGUUGAUGCAAAGUCCUUCCAAUGUCAUUUUGUUGCAACUUCACCCAAAACAAUGUUUUAAAGUCAUUUAACAAUAAAGUAGACCAAAUACAUUUUAUGAAUAAAUGAUGAGCAGUUUUCAAUAAACUAUCAUCACACAAAUAACUAAUAUCAACACAUGAAAUUUUCAUUUUCAACAAUUUAUCUUUAGUCACUAAAUUUUUUUCUGAAGAGACAAUCACAAGAAAAGUUCUCAUUUUCUCAAAGGAAACUUAUUUUCAACCUCUUCACAACCCAAAUCUCAACAAGUCAAUUAUUCAUUUUCUGAAGGAAAACUUAUGUAAAUGUAUACUCAAACCAUUUAGUUUAUUAACAUGAUCAUAGUAUAUACUAUUUAUACCUUUCAAUUAUAUAUGCGUGUAUAGAUAUAUAUCUUAUAAGUAUAGGAUGUACAUAUUUAAUAUAAAAUAUAUAUUGUAUUCAUAUUUUGUAAAUUAGAUGGCCCAGCCUAGUGGUUUGAGCUUGGGACUUCCAUGUUGGAGGUCUCAAGUUCGAAACCCCUUGCCAGAGCAAGGGGUUUGCCUUCUGGGUCGAGCUCGUCGCACCAGGCUUGCCUAGUGCAGGUUACCUCUCUAUGUGGUUUGCAAGCUAUUGCAUAGGAGCGAGGGUUUUACCCUGUGCGCACCCAAAGGGUAGCGGCUGCGGGUUUCCCUUGUCAUAAAAAAAUAAUAAUAUUAGACCGUAACUUUUUCUUUCUAAAUUCAAAGUAAAGUCCAAAAUAGCUUGGGCUUGAUCUUUAGUGAUGUUCUUACAAUUUGUUGCAUCAAGUAGUCUUAUAAGUAAGCUUUUUAUAAAAUUACUCGUUGAUCAAAGACUUUCAAGCAUAUUAAAAGCUAAAAUACUACACUUAUAUUAGAGUAGCAUAUGAUGAUGCAUGUCUCUUCUAUAGUAAGAUGAUUCUUAUAUUAGUUUCAAACCUUUUUCAUAUUAUCGAUCAUAUUUCUACUUGAGCUUUUAUACAACCUUAUCAAAGGAAGAAGUGGACCUAGUAAAAAACACGAACAUUCGAUAAUUCUAAAAAGAAUGUACAUAUGUAUGUAUAUAUUUUCAAAUUGCUUUCUUCUAAUCUCAUAUAUAUAUAUAAUAUUUUUUUCAAAUUAUUUUCUUCUAGUCAAAUUUCAAACAUGAUAUAAACUAGAAGAAAAUAAGUGACUAAUAAAGCAAAUUUAAUAUCACAUGUUGUAAGGUGUAAGUCACAAGUCUCUCAAUGGUAACAACACAAAUGUUUAUCUUUUUUUGUGUGUAUACUUUUUUAAUCUAUUUCUCUCCUCUUUUCCCCCCCUCACAUUUAUUCAAAAAGUAAUAGAGUAGUUCAACAAUAAUUUCCCCCCUUUAAGGUUGGAGUAUACACAAACAUUGAUAAGGCAUUUUGCCAGCUUUUCAUUCAUAUAAAGUUAGGCUCUUUUUUUCUUUAUUAUAGAAAAUAACGACAACAAAAUAUUCAGUAUUAUUCCGUAAGUAAAAUUUUGAGAAAGUAAAGUAUAAUUAUACACCGAUUAUAUUCGUAAAACAUAAAAUAUAAGAGAUGUUGCCAAUACCAUUAAGAAUUUUGAGUUGAAUACAAACGUACAUAUAUUUCUCACACGAAAUAUAAAUAUUUAUAUUUCAAGAAUCACUAAAAGUACAACAAACAUUUAAAAAGCCAAAUUCACAAUUACAUAACUGCAUACAAUUGUAUGUACAUAAUACAUAAAAAUUGUCAAAUCUUAUUUGAUACCUAUCCUGAUGAAUGGAAGAAAAUUUCGCCCCAAACACCAUACUUAUUAAUAAAAAAAAAUAACAAAACAAGCAAAUUCAAAUCUUGAAUCCUCUAUUUAUUGCUAUUAAUUAUUCGUGCCCAUGCAUAGCAGACAUUGCCACUAAAGCAAGUUUUUGUAGAUUCAAUUUCACAACAGUAUCAGUAAACAUUUUUGUAUCUUCACCAGUAUUCCCUUCUGGAAUAUCAACAAUAUAUGAUUCCAAAACUAUAGUAUAAUUUUUUCCAUUUUUGCUGAAUUCAUUUACUGAUGUAACUGAUUUAUAAUUUGUCAAUCUAUGUUCACCUCCAACAACUCGAAAACUUAAAAUAUGUUUUUCAUCAUCUAAUAUUUCUAGACGUUCUGUACUUGUAGAUGCAGGUAUUCCUGACACAACUGUGACUUCUCUUAUGCUGCCAACUCCGCCAUCACCUAUAUCGAGUGACGAAGUCAAAAAUUUUACUAAGAAAGAUUAAAAUAUAAAGAAAUUAUUGGUGUAAUAUUUUAUUUCAAUAAUAAAAUGCAUAUACACCAACAUAAAUAAAUUCACAAAGAAAUCAAGAGGAGUGAUGUCAAUAUGUAAAUAUGUAUAUACAUACAUAAAAAGAAUAUUUUUACCCAGCUACAUAAUGUAAGUCAAGUACAUGUGACUCCAUCACUUAUUUUGAAUUUAAUUUUUUGUAAGAAGGAUCGAUUACUUGCUACAGUAUUUCGAUUAUUGUAUAAAAAUGCAACUUUUGUCGAUGAGGGGAAUUGUGGUGAUUAAGAUAGGGUCGUCAAAAUUAUUGAAAUCAUAGCAUAAAAAUGCAUUAUAUUGUGAAAUACUUAGAUUAUUAUUUUUUAAGUCUAGCAAAGUAGUACAUGUAUAAAAUAAAAUAAAACAGAAAGAGAAAUGAGACUUUUAUUUUUGAUCGAAUUAAACAAAUAAAAAACGAACUUUUGACAUUAUUAAUAAAAGAUAAUUCAAAGUAUAUUAUCACUACGACAUUUUUGGACAAAUUUUAUACGUUUAAUUUGAACAAGAAAAAUGAAUAAGGUUCGAGAUUAUUUUUUUCAUUGAGAAGAUCAAUAGUGUUUCUAUUUACUCCGGCUUGACCUUAACCACUAGAAGAAGUCUCGCUUGUCCAUACGUGAAAGGUAAAUUGAAUUAUAAUGUAAUUAAAUUAUUAUUUAUUAUAAUAAUAUAUGUUUAUCAUAAGAUCAAUUUAAACUUUUAGAUGAAGUAAUUACACACCUGACACGAUCCUGCAACUUUUGAUGAAGUGCUUAUACUUCUCGGGAUUAUCAAAACGACGGACAAAUGGCCACACGACAUCGACGGGCGCGUCUAUGCGCUGCGUCACAAGAGAAGUACAAGUGUUUGGUAAAUCCUCAAAGGUAUGGUAAUUUCGAAUCAAUGGUUCCAAUUCUGCAAAUUCUUCUUGUGUUAGCCCUUGUGGAACUAAUAAUUGGCCAUCACCAUCCAUUUAAGGAACGAGGGGAAGAAUCGACGAGGCGAGUGUUCUUGAAGAGAAAAAAAAUCACAAAUUUGAUUUGAUUGAAAAUGGAGAAAAAAAUGGCAAAUUGUUUUAUCCUUCUUUUGGUUUUUGGGAGAUAGGAAGAGAAGUUAUAGGCUUUCUUUUUGUGAGAGGGAAAAUACAUGUGGGCAUGGGUUGUUUGGCUUUAUUUAUUAGAGUAUCGUAGGCAGUUCCGUGCAUGAAGUAGGCGUAAUUUUGUAGGUGAAAUAAUAAUGAUUAACCGACUUUAUGAGAUAAUUAACAUUAAUUGAGUGAUUUUUAUGUCAUAAAACAAAGUUCAGUGAUUUUUUGAUUUGAAAAAUUAAUUCGAUUUUUAAAUUUUUAAUCAGAAACUUCGAGUUCAUACUAUAUGGAUUAGAUAUAAUUUGUUGGUAAAGAACAUUUUUUAAAAUUAAUUGAGCUUUUAUAUAUGCGGUCUGAAUUUAAAUUAUAUUAAGAUAUGAAACAAAUAUAGAAUAUCGAGAAAAAAAAGAAGAAAAAACAACAAACAUAGCAAAGCUGUAUAUUCGAGGAUCAUGUGACAAAGUUUAACACAUUCGCGUGAUCAAAACUCAACUUUGCAGCAUUCAACCCUACCCACAACUUUUUCUUGGACCGUUGUUUGGUAUGUGAGAUAAAGAAUAAUUUUGAAAUAAAUUAAUUAUAUUUCAUAUUUAAUUUGAGUUAUUAGGAAAUUCGGAGAUUUUUUUGUAUCACACUAUUUGUAUUGAAAUAGUGGUAUUACUAUCCCAUAUAGAAGGUGAGAUAAAAUAAUCUCAUGAAUAUUCUUGCUUAUCUCAUCCCGCAGACCAACUAGAGUUCUACGUUAGGACUUGGAGACAUAUGUGAAACUAUGAUGUUAGGGGUGUCAAAUUAGCAAGUUAGGUUGAAUUUGGACGGAUCAAAAUGGUCGAGUAAUGUUGCACCAACCAAAGAUAUAGGUUAGAAUCCUUCAAAAAUGAUAUUGCACUCAUAUCUUAUCCUCCAAGAAUAAUAGCUAUUUUUGGAAGAUUCGACACACAAUCUGUAGUAUUUUUGAGGAGUCGGAGAAAUUUCUUGCUAUUUUCAAUCAAUUGAAAGUUUGUUUCAUUUUCAAGUUCUUGUUUCUUUCUUCACUUCAAAGUUCAAACAUGAUCUCUUUUCUCUAACUUAAGAAAGCUUAUGUAUACAAGAACACAGUCACUAGGAAGAGUCACGAGUAUGGCUCAGUGAUCAAUGAGAGAAUCACUAAGUCUCCGAUUCAAAGUUCAAAAUUUGGCGGAGGCAAGAUAUUAGUAGGUGAUUUUUUCCCAUCUAUUCAAGUUUCGGUGGACAAAAUUAAUAACAAGGGGACUUGCUGGACAUCAAUACCACGAGCAAGGAGAUCGGUUAUUAUUGUACUACAUACUUUUCUAUUACUAAAUUUUAUUAAUAUUCAAUUCAACCUAAUAAAUAUAUGCACAUAAUUAUUAUUGUACUACAUACUUUUCUAUUACUAAAUUUUAACUUAUUAUUUAAUUAUAUUUUAAUAUAAAAGUCAUAAAUUAUCCUCACUCUCACCCCUCCGCCCUCUCAAAUAGAGGCGAACAUAAAGUACUAGUACCAGAUUCAUCCGAAUCUAGUAUUUUUACACACAUAUAUAUUUUUGCAUAAAAAUUCAUGACGAAUACAAUAACCACCAAAUAUGAGUUUAUAACUUUAAAAACAUCUUAAUUCAACAUAAAAAAUCUUUAAAAUAAAUUUAUAAAAUUUAAAUUCUAAAAUUUAUAAGUACUUGGAACCAAAUGAAGGAAAAACUAAGAAGAGAGACUUUGACGCUUGCUUUCCCUAUACUUCACAAAUUUUCAUACUCCUUUUGUAUUAACCAAGUUACUCUACUUUAUUUGUUUUAUUUAUUCUUUCCUUAUCAAUUUGUUUAAAAAAAGUUGGCAUUUUUCUAUAUUUAAGAGUUAUUUUAUUUUAUUAUUUAUAAUUUAUUUAAUCAUUUGUUGUUUGGUAAUUAAUGGCUCGAUUGAUAAUUGGUUUUAACUAUCAUAUUUGAUAUUUGACUUGAUUAAUGUGUUACAUAAAUAUUGAAGUAUGUACGAAAAAAAUCUUCUCUAUUUUUAUUUUAUUUUAGGAUAUUAAAACUAAAAAUUUAUAAUUGAAAGCGAAAAGAUUAUAUUUAUUUCAUCAAAUCCUAAGGUGUUAGACAAACACUUUUUUCUUUGUUAGAUUGGAUGGGAGUAGUUGAUCGAUCGAACUACGAUGAUUGGAAUGAAGACAGACAGACUUCCGUGCGAAAGACAGAACGACAAAAAUUCUUCAAUCAUGGUGUUGGCAUCAAUUUAUGUGCACAACAACUAGUUUUAUAAGAUAUUUGCUAUAACUUAUCAAUAUACACGGAUAUUUUUGCCUACAAACAACAUAUUUAGUAUAAUUUUACAUAAUGAGAUCGAUAAAGAUAGAAAGUACAUAAAUUUUACUCACAUUUCAUUUCGAUAGAACGUAACACAUAUCAAGUAACAUACCCAAGUACAUAUAACAAGUACUAGAAAAGGCAUUACAUAACAAAGUAAUGUAGUAUUUAAAACAUAAACAGAUGCAAUAUAAUAUAAAUCACAACUCACAAAACUAAUAAUAAUAUUGAUACUAAGAAAAAAUAGGUACAAAACGUCAAACUACCCUGAACCCUAAUUGUAGGAAAGUAAGACAACAAUUAAUUAUCUACUAAAUCUUUUAUUGAGAUGAACUAAUUCGUAUGUUACUCAACUCUCUAAAUAUUUCAGAACUUAUAUAACAUGUAUUUUUUUAAAAUUCGAAUAGCAUGAACGAAUUUUAGAAGUUCAUCGAUAUAAGUCAAUCAUAAAAGAUAGAAUACAACACAUAUCAAGUAACAUAUAUAAGUACAGUUAACAAGUACUAGAGAACACAUUAUAUAACAAAAUAAUACAUUUAUCAAAACACAAUGGAAAGUAACAUAAAUCACAGCUCACAAAACUUCUAAUACUAUUGGUACAAAGGCGAAACAUGUAUCGAACGUUAAACUACCACUAAGUCUAAAUCGUAAAAAAAUAAGAUAACACUUAACUAUCUACUAAAUCUUCUAUUGAGAUCGAUUAGUUCCUAUGUUGUUCAAACUUUACAAAAUACUCUGACAUCUAUAUGACACGUAUUUUCGAUAGCAUUUUUGAAAAAUUCGAAAAGUAUAAUGUAGGGGUGUACAUGAUCGGGUUGGUUCGGGUUUUUCAAAUAUCAAACCAAAUCAUUUGUGUCGGAUUUUUAAAUUUAUAAACCAAACCAAACCAAUAAAACUCAAGUUUUUCAACCUCGGGUUUUUUCGGAUUUUUUUCAAGUUUUUUGGAUUUUCGGGUUGUUUCGGGUUUUUCCGGUAAAGUAUUCAUACAAACAUAUAAUUUACUUGUACUUCAAAUAUUUCUUUAGUCCUACCAAAAUACAACUAUCUAAGGUGUUUCUUAAAAAAUAACACAAAAUAUGAUAUGAUUAAUGACACUAAAAUAUCCAACAAAAAAAUAAAUGAAAUCGCGUAAAAACAAAUAUUGCAAAUUAACAAGUCAUAAUGAAAAUGAUCAUAAUUUAAAAGUACUAAAUCAUGUUAAAAAUAAGUUUAAUAAAGUAUUAGUUACAUGACUAAAUAUUAAAGGAAAUUAAAAUUAGAUUAUGUAUUUUAAUUGUCUAAACCAAUGUAAACCUAAAGAACAAAUAUUCAAUAUUAUUGUCAUUCUUAGUGUUGAUUUGAUUUUCUUUUUGUAUUAGUAUUAAUUUGAUUUUGAUUUAAGCUUUAUUAUAAUUAUCAUGUUGACUAUAAUAUUUAUUGAACCAUUCAGAAUUAUAAGUUCCAAACUUGAAAUAAUAUAUUAAAAAAUAAAAACCUGAGGAUUCGAUUUUCGGUUCGUUUGUACACCCUUAGUAUAAUGAAUUCGCCGAAUCCACCGACAUUAGUCAAACACCUUAGUGAAACGACAGAAAUAUAAAUUCUAUUUUUCUUCUGCCAAAUCUAAGCUCAUUUUUUCUCUCCAAAAAUGGCUGACAGAGUUCACCCUUCAGCUAAGCCAAAUGGCAAUGCCACCAAUAUUGCCGCUGCCGCUGCCGUCAAUCCCAAAGCCGCCGCAAAACCGCCGCAAUUUCCUCCUCCGGCGGCGAAGAACCAAAUGUAUAACCCGAAUCGCAUCCCUUACCGACCAACUCCAACUGCCUACCACCGACACAACCGCCGCCGUUGCACCUGUCGCCGGUGCUUCUGCUUCUGUUGUUUCUGGUCACUCCUCCUCAUCUGCACCGUCCUACUCCUCGCCGCAAUCGCCGGCGCCGGUUUCUACUUCCUAUUCCGCCCAAAACCUCCGGCAUUCUCCGUCUCCUCACUCAAAAUCAUCCAAUUCAAACUCACUACUACCUCCGACGACACUACACACCUCACUGUUAAGCUCAAUCUCACACUCUCCACUAAAAACCCUAACAAAAAGCUGAUUUACAACUACGAUCCUAUUUCCUUAACUGUGAACUCGAAUUCAGUUCUACUAGCUAAUGGAUCGUUCACAGGUUUCAGCAGCGGUCCAAAUAACAUCACGAUCAUUCACUCAACUCUAUCAAUGGCGUCUCAAGUGCUCGAUGCGGAUUCAAUUUCAUCGUUGAAAUCAGAUCUGAAGAGAAAAAAUGGAUUACCGAUGAAGAUCUUGUUGGAUACAAUGGUGUUAGCGAAAAUGGAUAAACUGAAAAGUAAGGAAGUCGGGAUCAGAGUUACUUGUGACGGAAUCCAUGGAAGAAUUCCGACGGGGAAAACUCCGGCGGUGGCUUCAACUACAAAUGCUAAAUGUAAGGCUGAUUUACGCAUGAAGAUCUUAAAAUGGACCUUCUAAUUCAUUUUUUUGGGUGAGUGAAGGGUGAAAAACGCACCUAAAUUAUCUCGGUGAAUUAUUUAUUGGGUGUGGAAGUUUUUUUUUAUCUGAAGUAUCAUCAAAUAUUUAUCGAAUCACACGUUAAUCAUAAUGCAUUCACUUUUUUCUAUCUUAACACCGUAAUAAUUCAGGUAGAAAAUGUGAAUAGUUAUAGUUGAUGUAUGUUUUGAUAAAUAAUUGGUAAUAAUUCAGGUAGAAAAAGUAACCACGUGAUAAUUUGAUAGAAAAUUCAAAAAAUUGAGAUAGUUAAAUGUUGUUUUUGAUUCUUAACUCUUUUUUAGUUGUUUUUAUUUUUAUUUAUCAAUUAUUUGCUUGAUUUUUGCAAUUUAUUCAUAAUAUUAUACUAUUAUGUAGUAGAUAUAAGGCAAAUGGAGGGAGAAAAUGGUGUUAUGUAGAUUUUUUUGGGUGAAAUAUAGAGAGUUUGAUAUAAUUUUAAUGUACCAAAAAGCAAACAAAAAAAAAAGAGUUUGAUAUAUUCUUAAUAAUUCUUCUUUGAUGUGACUUAAUAAUUAUAUUUAUGUAAAUUUGUAUUAUGUUUCCCAAGUAUUGAUUUUAUUCUUGUUAUUUUUUUUUUGUAUUCUUAGACUUUUAUUAUUGUUUCUUUAGCCUCGGUUAUUCGUAUUGUCUUGUUGUUAUUUCAACUUGAAGAGUUAGAAAUUUAAAUCAAUCAAAUAAUAACAACAACAACAACAUAUCAGUAGGGGUGUUCAUGGUUUGGAUAAAAACUGAUCCAAACCGAAAAACCAAACCAAACCGAUUAAAUGAACCGAUUUAAUUUGGGUUUUGGUUUGGUUUGGUUUUAGAUUGUUAAGAACCGAUAGUAUUUGGUUUGGUUAUGGUUUUGUUCGAAAAAAAUCGAAGAAAUAACCGAACCGAACCAACAAGUUAUAUACAUAAAUUUUAUUAUUAUGCAUACAUAAUAUAUUAUAUUCAUAAACAAUUUUAAAGAUUUUAUAUAUGUUUCAUCAAAAUUUAUUUUUAUAAUUUACUUAUGAAAGAAAAAAUAUCAAGGUGAGAACAUUUUUCUUAUUGGUUUCAUGUAUAUAAGUGUCUAUGAAAAUUCUUUGAGGAACUAAAAAUGUCAUUGUCUCUUCCUUCUAUGCCAAAAUAGUGAAUUUUGAAGUUUUGUUCAGUAAAUUCAAUGAUCGAAAGUUCUGUAAUGCCAGUCAUUCUAACUAUAUUUUUGUUUGAAUGGAUUGUUGUCACUUUUUUCACGUUUUGAAUGAAUUGUUUAUUUUAUUUUUAUGUAUGGUUAAUAACCGAAUAACCAAACCAAACCAAACCAAAACCGAAAACAACCAAACCGAUAAACGUAUAUUAUAUUUGGUUUGGUUUGGUUUUGGUUUUGACCAAUAACCGACCCAAACCAAACCGUGAACACCCCUACUUGUUGGUAUUGCAUUCUUUAAAUCGAGAGUCUAUCUCAAAAAUCUUUAUCUUCUUAAGAUAAACGUAAGAUUAACAUACACUCUAACAUUUCCAAACUCUAAUUAUGGGAUACAUUAGAUUUGUUGAUGAUAUAGUACAAUUAUAUAUAAUUAUCUUAUUAUAAUAAGAUACUUUAUUAUCAAUCUGACAAUAAUAAUUCGCAAGUACUAAAGAAAAUUACUCUCUAGAUAAUUUCAUUGUAGAUCUCAAUCAAGUCUUAAUUAUUUCCUAAUUUACACAUAGUUUUGUAUUUAAUAGGCAAAUUCAAAAUUUAAAAUUUCUGCCACAAAAGCCCCAACCAAUUUAUGUUAUCGAGUUUAUAUAGUUUAUUAUAUGUAUGUAUUUAGUGAAUUUUUUUAACACAUAUAUAAUUGAGUUAUGUUGAAUUCAUACAUUGUAUAUUUGCAUUUACAUGCAUCACUCAAAAACAUUAUAAUAGCAUUGGAGCAAGUUUGAAUGGAGUGGAGUCAAUUAUGAGAAAUUCAUAUCAUCAACUCAAACACAACAUUGAGUAUAGGCAUUGUUAAGAGUUGUUGCAUAGAUGAGAUUUCUCCAUUUUUAUUCAGAGACUUACCUUCUUUACAAGAGAAGGGUCUACCCAAACACAACAUAAGUUGUUGCAUGGACAUUUUUAUUUAGAAACGUAUUACCUUCUUUAAAAGGGAGGGUCUACCCAACAUGAAUCUUGAUUGGUUAGACAAGUUUUACCUUCUCGAUUAGGGGACCUUACAUUCAUGAAUCUUAAUUGGUUGAUCUUAGUUAAAGGACCUACCCAACAUGAAUCCUUGUUGGUUGGGCAAAUCUUGAAGGACCUACACGACAUGAAUUCUAAUUGAUUGAUUAGGCAAGAAACAACAAUUUGAAGAAGUUUUUACCUUUCAUAUUAUAGGAUCUACCUAGUAUGAAUCCUAAUUAGUUGAGCAAGUUUUACUUUCUAUAUUAGAGGAUCUACAUGAUCAAAAGAAUAUCAUGUAGACUUUUUAGAGGGAGAAUCACUCGACACGGAACCUCCCAUGUGAGGUCGGGUAAUGGUCAACAAUUCAAGCAAGAAAUGUUGAAAAACAACUAACAAGUCGUAACAAAAAAAUGGGUAUGUUCAAAUUUUUGGACCCUACAUGAAGCAAGGAUUUCAAACCUUUCCAAAAGUGUAGGUAUGUGCAAGUUUCAUACGACUAGAUGGAGUGACACAAGAUCUACCUCUUGACUUAAGUAUAGAUAUUAAUUCAUCCACACAACAAUUUGCUUCUCGUAUUUCUCAAUUAGAGAGCCUACUCGGCAUGAAUCAUGAUUGGUUGGCCAAAUCUUGGAGGACCUACCCUACAUGAAUCUUGAUUGAUUGGGCAAGAAAUAGUGGGGAAUAAAUAUAGCACCAACAUUAGAAAAUAGAACUAAAAGCCUAACGUCCAUAGAAAAAUAGUUCAAAUAAACAAAAUUCAAACAACCAAAUCCAAAGUUAUUUGGACACUUCCAAAAACAAAAUAACAAAAACCAGACAAAAUUUGCAGUUGUUCACUCUGAAUAAAUAUAUUAGACUACUUCCAGUAGGGAAGGAACAAUUCCCCUCACAGAGCCAAAAUCACCUCAAAGGAGAUCAGCAACAUUGGCUGGGAGCUCCUCAACUACAACGUUGUAAAACUUUUGAAUGUCAAAAAGCAUCCUUUCGUCAUCCUUGGUAACAAAGUUGAUAGCAACACCCUUCCUUCCAAAUCGUCCACUACGACCAAUACGAUGCAGGUAGUUUUCUGGUUGAGUAGGCAGGUCGUAGUUAAUAACAAGGGAGACUUGUUGGACAUCAAUACCACGAGCAAGGAGAUCGGUUGUGAUAAGCACACGAGAUGAGCCAGAUCGGAACUCCCUCAUAAUGAUAUCUCUAGUGUUCUGAUCCAUGUCUCCGUGAGUUGCAGAUACUGUGUGAUCACGGCCACGCAUUUUAUCAGUGAGCCAAUCAACCUUUCGCCUGGUGUUAACAAAGAUGACACUCUGGGUGAUGGCCAAGGUCUCGUAAAGAUCACAGAGUGUUUCGAGCUUCCACUCUUCCUUAUCGACGUUGACAUAGAAUUGCUUAAUACCUUCAAGAGUGAGCUCAUCACGCUUCACAAGAAUUCUCACAGGCUUGUUCAUGAACUUUCUAGUAAUCUCAAGAGCCUCUGGCGGCAUAGUGGCAGAGAAAACACCCACUUGGAUUUUUGGUGGCAAAAGCUGGAAUAUAUCAUAAAUCUGGAAAAUGGAAAUUGUGUCAACGGAACAGGCUAAAUCAUAAAAACAAAGAAGGGAAAGACCAGCAGUUGCUAAAGGAUGUUAGAAAACAUCAAGGCUGCGAUUGGGGGGUAUUCACCAACAAGCGGAUCACUAACCAGCAUAUAUUUUCAAGCCAAUUGAACGUUAUAAAAGAAAGAGUAAGACCUACACAUUUGAAAUCAAUGCAGACUUGGCCACAAGAAUGAAUCUUGGGCCUCUAAGACCAGACAUAUCCUCAAAAUGAGUGGAUCGUUGAUAUGCAGAGGAUUUCAUAUGUGCACUCAUUUAUGAUUUGACAAGAUUAAACAUGUUCACAUUUGACAGAGAAUAUAAAUAGCACAAAAUAAAAGACCACUUCAAACAAGUUGCCAGAGAUAAUUUUCUCAUGUCUUACGCAAACCUUGAAGUGUCCUGGACAAUAGGCACCUGACUACGAUGAUUGAAAUGUGGCAGAAGGGAAACAAGUAGAUCUAAAAUUUCAUGGAAGAUAAAUUAUCCCAGAAGACUUAAUGAUAAUAAAACACAAUGAAAGCAGAAGACUCAUACAGCAAUAUCUAUCAACUAGCUGAGAGUCAAAAUUAGUUGUUUUAUUAACAGCCGAUCUAGUGUUUGGGACUAGUUAAAGAUGAGAUAUGAGACUUAAGACCUUUAAUUCUAGAGAGUCCAUAUAACUGAGAAGAAGUUGAUUGUUUCUCAUAUUACUAACAAAUCAGCCAUCACUUUAUUAGUUCGCCAACAACUCAUAAGUAAACACAUUUAAAAAGUAAUCCAGUUUACUAUAUCAAAAAAGGGAAGGUUAAUUAUAUUUCAGAAGUGAUGAAAAGUGAGGCAAUAAUCCACUUCUAAUGUGUUAACCUUCGAACACAGAAACAUAACAGAGUAAAACAAAUAAAAAGGCACAUCCUGCAUUGAACAAAUAAAACAGCAAAAAUUUAAGUAAAAGGGAGACCUGAUCCUUGAAACCUCUGGAGAGCAUUUCAUCAGCUUCAUCCAAAACAAACAUCUUGAUGUGGUCGGGGCGAAGAGACUGUCUGCGCAACAUGUCAAAGACACGGCCUGGAGUACCAACCACUACAUGAACACCACUCUGAAGGAUACGCUGAUCUUCACGGACACUGGUACCCCCAACACACGCAUGAACCUUCACGCCCAGAUAGUCACCGAGUGCACGCAUAACCUUCUCAAUCUGUUGUGCCAGCUCACGGGUUGGUGCAAGAACAAGAGCCUGACAUUCAACUAAACUAUAAUCAAGUUGCUGGAGAACUCCAGAGCAGAAAGUUGCUGUCUUUCCAGUUCCAGAUUGUGCCUGCUGGAUAACAUCAAGGCCCUUGCAAAAGGGAACGAUGCCCCUUUGCUGAAUAGCUGAUGGCUUCUCAAAACCUUCAAGAAAUUCAAAACACUGUUCAGUGCCUGUAAAAUCUGAGAACGGAGGAAAGGAAACCAGAAUUAUAAGGAGAUGUCAAUUUACCAUAGGCAUAGAUGCCUCUCAGAAGGUUUUCUUGCAAACCCAUGGCAUCAAAACUGUCAUAAACCUCAUCAUAUGAUGUGAAAAAUUCUUGUUGUUCAGUACCAAGUCUGUUUUUGGCAUAUCAAACAACCACAAAAGUCAAUCAAAUCAAUGGCAAAGGCUAGAGGCAAAAUAUCAGCAGAAAGUGAUGAUCAAUAACCUCAGUACAGGAGGGAGAAGAGAUAACUUACAGCUCCGUCAUUUUCGCAUCGAAUUGACGAGCAUCAAACUGAGAACCUUCUGGUGCUGAGCCUGCCAUACUGCAGGAAUUUAACAAAAAAACAGAUAAAUCAAUUAAUUAUGCCUCAAUCUCAAACUAGUUCUGGUAUACUGGUGUAAGCAAAUUUUAGUUUUCUUUUAAGAUUACUUUUUUCAAUUAGUGAAUAACAGAUCUUAUCAGAAGAUUUUGUAGAUGAUAAAAAGUGAAGAUUGAAGCUUAACUCCGUGACAUAUAAAAAAGUUUAUUCACCAAGUACCAAUAACUACUUAUCAAAACUAGAAUUCUCAAAUAAAAAAUAACAAAUCUUAUCAGUCACAUGGACAUUCAUUAAACAUCAUGAAGAAGACAACAAGGGAAGGUCAAAACAUAACUCCAUGGCAUAUAAGAUAAUAACAAAAGGUAGUUUAAGGCCCAAAACACUUCACAAAUAAAAUUUAUUCACCACAUAUCAAUAACAUUAUCUGUUCUUCCUUUAUUCAUGAGGGCAUGCACAAGAAACAAUAUACAUCAUUUCUCCUUUUUCUUUUUCUUUCCUGAAGAAGUAAAAGGAGCAGAAAGCAGAUAGAAAUAACUGUUUGACUACUUGCCAUACAGCUCAACCCUAUUUCUAUAGCUACUUGACACAGGGUCAAUGUGACAAAGAACGAGAAUGAGCAAGUGUUGGAGGAGAUGCUAAAACAGACAUACAAAUCAAAACCAACUGAAAAUAGUGAAGAGCAAGCACGUGAACCCCACAAAACCCAACUGUCUGAAAAAAUCACUACUUGUCGCCGAUGAAUCAUCAAAAACUCAAACACCAUCUAAACUAAAACAAACAUAUACAGAUCAGAUACAAUCCAAAUUAUAGAAGAGCAAAAAAAGCUCGAACUCCACAAUACCAAAUUGUCUGAAAAAUCACUACUUUAUGCCGAUGAAACAUCCAAAACUCAAAACACCAUCUUUCUGAUGGUGAAGGAAGAAAUUAUGAAAACACAUAAAAAUCAAAACCAACCCAAAUUAAUCAAGACCAAGAAUGUUGAACUACACAAAACCCAACUGCAGAAAAUCACUACUUUAAACUCAAAGACCAUAUUUAAACAACAUAUACAAAUCAAAACCAACCCAAAUUAGUGAAGAGCAAGAACGUUGAACCUCACAAAACCAAACUGUUUGAAUUUUUUUUUUACUUUACACCAAUAAAACAUCCAAAACUCAAACACCAUCUAAACUAAACAAACAUAUAGAAAUCAAAACCAACCCAAAUUAGUGAAGAGCCCACAAAACCCAACUGUAGAAAAAUCACUACUUUACGGCGAUGAAACAUCAAAAACUCAAACACCAUCUAAUCUAAAACAAACAUAAAUCAAAACCAACCCAAAUUAGCGAAGAGCAAGACCAUCGAACCCCACAAACUAUCUUUAAAAAAAAACUACUUUAUACCAAUGAAUCAUCAAAACCUCAAACACAAACAGAUACAAAUCAAAACCAACCCAAAUUAGUUAAAGAGCAAGAAUGUCAAACCCCACAAUACCAAACAGUCUGAAAAAAUUCACAACUUCACAUCAAUGAAUCAUCAAAACCUCAAACACCAUCUAAACUAAAACAAACACAAACAGAUACAAAUAAAAACCAACCCAAAUUAGUUAAGAGCAAGAACAUCAAACCCACAAUACCCAACUGCCUGAAAAAUCAUUACUUUAUGAAUCAUCAAAAACUCAAACACCAUCUUAACUAAAACAAACAUACACAAAUCAAACCCAACCCAAAUUAGUAAAAACCAACAACAUCCAACCCCACAAAACUCAACCGUAAAAAAAUCACAACUUUACACCAAUGAAUCAUCAAAAACUCAAACACCAUCUAAACUAAAACAAACAUAUACAUAUCAAAACCAACCCAAAUUAGUGAAGACCAAGAACAUCAAACCCCACAAUACCAAAUUGUCUGAAAAAAUCACUGCUUUACGCCAAUCAAAACAUCAAACUCAAGCACCAUACAAAUCAAAACCAAACCAAAUAAGUAAAAACUAAGAACAUCCAACCCCACAAAACCCAACAGCAUAAAAAUCACAGCUUUACUUUAUAAAUCAUCAAAACUCAAACACCAUCUAAACUAAAACAAACAUACACAAAUCAAAACCAACCCAAAUUAGUAACAACCAAGAACAUCCAACCCCACAAAACCCAACUGCAAAAAGAUCACAACUUUACCUAUGAAUCAUCAAAAACUCAAACACCCAUUUAAACUAAACCAAACAGAUACAAGAAUCCAGCAAAAUACACAAAAAACCAAAAAAAGUUCAGCAGAAAGAAGAGAGUUACCUUAUAGCUAAUAAGAAGAUUGUUAAAGAGAGAUCUGAAGAUUUGAGAAAAAGGGGAUUUUUGAGAAUUAGGGUUUGUAAAGACUGCAGCUUUUUUCCAAAAACUCCUCGGAUCUACGCCGCGGAGUUCAGGAAGACAAUAUGUGUGAGAGAGUUUUUAUGAUUGUGUUAUGUUUUGUCUUUUUAUGUUUCCAAAUCCUUAUGUAAAUUGAGUUGGAAAAAAAAAAGGAAAAAGUUUCAAAAAAAUUCCCUUAACCUAUUAUAAUUUGGUGGUAAGUUUAAAAUAGUUUCAUAAUUUAUUAAAUAUUUUUGGUCUUUAUUAAAUAUUUGUCAAAUUUUAAUUAUUAAAUUUAAUUAAUAUUGUGAAAGUAGAAAAUAUUAAAUGGGAACUCAUAUGGUUUCGUAAUUUAGGAGUAAUUAUUGUUAUUUUUUUACUUUUUCGUUUUUAUGUUGCAAUAUCUAAGACUUUAACGGGGAUUUUUGGUAUUUAUGGUUAAUAAAAAAAAUCAUAAUUAGGUUUUUGGUAAAUAUUUGAUGGAGGUUGAAAAAUAUACUCAUUUUUUUACAAGAGGAAAAGGAUAAAUAUAUCCCCAAAUUAUCGUAAAUGGUAUGCAGAUACCCUCUAUCAUACUUUUGAGACAUUGGUGCCCCUGCCGUUCAAAAACAAGAGCAUAUAUACCCUUUAUACUAACGGACAUACACGUGUUAUAAUCUUAUCCACCGAUCCGACAUUUAUUAAAUAUUAGAUCGACGGAUAAGAUUGUGCCACGUGUCCCUAUUUAGUCUUCCAUUAGAGUGAAUGACAUAUAUGCUCUAGUUUUUGGACGGCAGGGGCACCAAUGUCCUAAAAGUAUGACAGAGGGUAUCUGCAUAUUAUUUACGAUAGUUCAGGGAUAUAUUUGUCCUUUCACCCUUUUGACAAUUUAAAAGGACUGAAACUGCUCAAGUGAUACAUAUGGGACUAUUUUGAACUUAAUAUUAAGGAGAAUGGACUAUUUUUGUCAUUAUCUUGAAAUAUGACAUUUAUAAUUUUCACCGUCCCCUUCAUUCUACGAUGACCCCUACCGGGGAAAGCCCAUUCUCAUGUGCUCAUGGCCUAGCUGGCCUGACAAUGAUAGUAGAAAUUUUCUCAUUUUCUAAUCAGAAAUUUAAUUGAAUAUGAGACCUACUUUAUCAUGAGCGAUAUAUCUAAACUGUUAGAUUUAUAUUGGAUAUUUUUUGUAUUAGUGAUCUCUAAUCUCUCACAAAAUGAUAUGAUUUUAUUUAUUCAAAACUACUAAAGAAAAUGAACAUUGAGAACUAUUGUACGAUUUAAGUUUGUGAGUUUUAGUAACCCCUCACUUGUCACAUAAACCACAAUUAAUUAAUGAUACCUAGUUCAUAGUUUAUUAUAUGUACUUAUUUAGGUGAAAUUUCAAUACAUAUAUGAUUGAGUUAUAUCGAACUCAUACAUUGUACGUCUACCUCUACAUAUAUCACUCCCAAGUACAAUAAUAGUAUUGGAAUAAGUAUGAAUAGAGUGGAUUUAUAUUAUCGCCCCCAACUAAUUGAAAUUUGAAACUUAUAUUAAUUGACAUAUUCUGACAUAUAAUAGCUCAAUAUGAACAAUUGAGAAGGUCAUAUAGAUGGUCAUGCCAUCAUACAAACCACAAUAAAAUACUGUUAAGUGCAACAGUAAAAUGGAUGAGAUUUUUCAAUUUUGUGCUCGUAGAUAUGUUACCUUCUUUAUAAGAGGGUUUAUCUGACAUGAAUCCUCCUUCCGCCGUUAGUUUAGCUGCAACGGCCGCAGACGCAGGAAGCAGUUCCUCUAUGGCAAAUUAGAAACGUCGAAGUAGGAUGUGUUUUAUUAAUAGGAAGAUAAGGCGUUAGCGGACCGACUUGGCAUGAAUCCUGAUUGAUUGGACAAAUUUUAGCUUCUCAAUUAGAUGACCUACCCAACAUGAAUCUUAAUUGAUUGAUUUCAAUUAGAGGAUCUAUCCAACAAGAAUCCUUGUUGGUUAGGCAAAUAUUAGAGGACCUACUCAAUCUGAAUCUUUAUUGAUUGGGUAAGAAACAAUAGUUGUUAGAUGAUUUACCUUCUAUGUUAAAGAAUGUAACCACAAAGUCUGGAGUUCAAAUAUGAAAUAUAGCAUCAAAAUGGGAAAAACAGAUAUCCAACUAAAAGCUUUACCUUCCAUAGGGAAAUAGAUAAAUUAAACAAUUCAAACAAUACCAAAUCCAAAGUUAUUUGGAUGCUUUAAGAUAUAAAAUGACAAACCAAACAAAAUUUGCAAAAGUUGACUCUAGAAGUUUCAUUUGAAUCAGGAAAGUAACUGGUGCUGUGGCAAAACCAUGGUACCAGCAUUUCCUAAUUCCAAGUCUAGUACAAACUGAAACUAAAUCUAAGAAAAAAUAUACCAAAAUCGCCUUAAAGGAGAUCAGCAACAUUGGCUGGGAGCUCCUCAACUACGACGUUGUAAAACUUCUGUAUGUCAAAAAGCAUCCUUUCGUCAUCCUUGGUGACAAAGUUGAUAGCAACACCCUUCCUUCCAAAUCGUCCACUACGACCAAUACGAUGCAGGUAGUUUUCUGGUUGAGUUGGCAGGUCAUAGUUAAUAACAAGAGAGACUUGUUGGACAUCAAUACCACGAGCAAGGAGAUCGGUUGUGAUAAGCACACGAGAUGAGCCAGAUCGGAACUCCCUCAUAAUGAUAUCUCUUGUGUUCUGAUCCAUGUCUCCGUGAGUUGCAGAUACUGUGUGAUCACGACCACGCAUUUUAUCAGUGAGCCAGUCAACCUUUCGCCUAGUGUUAACAAAGAUGACACUCUGGGUGAUGGCCAAGGUCUCGUAAAGAUCACAAAGUGUUUCAAGCUUCCACUCUUCCUUAUCGACAUUGACAUAAAAUUGCUUAAUACCUUCAAGAGUGAGCUCAUCACGCUUCACGAGAAUUCUCACAGGUUUGUUCAUGAAUUUUCUAGUAAUCUCAAGAGCCUCUGGUGGCAUAGUGGCAGAGAAAACACCCACUUGGAUUUUUGGUGGCAAAAGCUGGAAUAUAUCAUAAAUCUGGAAAAUAAUAAUUGUGUCAUGGGACAAGCUAAAUCAUCAAAACAAAGGAGGAAAAGACCACCAAUAUGUGGCAGCAAUUGUUGAAGGAGGUUAGAGCACAUCAAAGCUACAAUCUGGGGGGGGUCACCAACAAGCUGAUCAAUAACCGGCAUAUAUUGUCAAGCAAAUUGAAAAUUAUAAAAGAAAGAGAGACCUACACAUCUUGAAAUCAAUGCACUUGACCAUGAGGGUGAAUGUUGGGACCAAACAUAUCCACAAAAUAAGAGUCGUGUAUAUGCAAAGGAUUACGGAUGUGCACUCAUAUGUGAUUUGACAAUAUUCGACAUGAUCACAUUCGACAGAGAAUAUAAAUAUUACACAUAUAAGAUAACAUCAAAAAAGGGCUUAUCUGACUUUCAAAUGAUCUUGAUCUAUAAGCACAGGACUAUGAUGAUUGAACAGUAGCAACGAAAAAGGUAAACCUCAAAUAUCAUGGAAGACUAAAUAUCACAGAAGACUUGCGAUCUCUAGAAACAAAUGCAAACUUCAGUAAGAAUAAAUAACAACGAAAGCAAUUGAUCCAUAUAGCAAUACCAGCUACUUGAGAGUCAACACUUAAUUGUUGCUGCCCUUGCAUUUGAUCUAGUAGUGUUGGAGAUCUUUGUACUAGUUAGACAUAAGCUGUGAGACUUGAGGUACUUUGAAGUUUAGAGAACCUCUUAACUUGUUUUAGAUUUCAGAUUAUUUAGCUUAGGCCUGAAAAGGGUCGGAUUUCAAGCUUGAUAAAGAUAAUCAUCCAUAGACCUGAACUCUAGUUUAGGACUGAGGAAUUGUUGAUUGAUAAUUUGAGGGAGAAAUAUAUUAUUAACAAAUUAGCCCUAGCUUUAUUAGUUUACUAUCAACUACAUAAACACAUUUAAAAUUGAAUUCUGCUUCACUUGGUCAAAAAAAGAAAAGGUUAAUUCUUUUAUUUUGUUGAUAAAACGAUGUAAAAAUCUCUACUUCUAGAUUGUUAAUCAACCUUCGAACACAGAAACAUCAUUUAGUAACAGAAAAUGGAGGCAAAUCCUGCUCUGAACUAAGAAAUAAAACUGCAAAAAUUUAAGUAAAAGGGCAACCUGAUCCUUGAAACCUCUAGAGAGCAUCUCGUCAGCUUCAUCCAAAACAAACAUCUUGAUGUGGUCGGGGCGAAGAGACUGCCUGCGCAACAUGUCAAAGACACGGCCUGGAGUACCAACCACAACAUGAACACCGCUCUGAAGGAUGCGCUGAUCCUCACGUACACUCGUACCCCCAACACAAGCAUGAACCUUCACACCCAGGUAGUCACCAAGUGCUCUCAUAACCUUCUCAAUCUGUUGUGCAAGCUCGCGGGUUGGUGCAAGAACCAGAGCCUGACACUCAACUAAACUGUAAUCAAGCUGCUGGAGAAUUCCAGAGCAGAAAGUUGCCGUCUUUCCAGUACCAGAUUGUGCCUGCUGGAUAACAUCAAGGCCCUUGCAAAAAGGAACAAUGCCCCUUUGCUGAAUAGCAGAUGGCUUCUCAAAACCUUAAAGGAAUUCAAAACACUGUUCAGUGCUCUGUAAAAUCUGGGAAUGGAGGAAAGGAACAAGAAUUAGGAGGAGAUGUCAAUUUACCAUACGCAUAGAUUCCCCUCAGGAGAUUUUCUUGCAAACCCAUGGCAUCAAAACUGUCGUGAACCUCAUCAUAUGAUGUGAAGAAUUCCUGUUGUUCAGUACCAAGCCUGUUUUUGGCAUAUCAAACAAGCACAAAAGUCAAUCAAAUCAAUGGCUAAGGCUAGACGUCAAAUAUCAGCAGAAAGUGAUAAUCAAUAAAUUGGAAAAAGAGAGAGGGAGAGAGAGACAAGGAUGCUUUCCAGCCAGAUUAACAUGACCACAAUAUAUGAUGGAAAGAGAUAACUUACAGCUCUGUCAUUUUCGCAUCGAAUUGACGAGCAUCAAACUGAGAACCUUCUGCUGCCAUGACUGCAGGAAAUUUUAAAUAAUUAAUUAAUUAACUGCACCUCAAUCUCAAAAUAGUUUUGGGAUUCUGAUAUAAGCAAAAAAAUUAAAAUUUAUUUGAAACUAAUAUUUUCUAUAAACAAAUAAUAAAUCUUAUCAGUCAUAUGGCAAUUCAUUGAACAUUUUGUAGAUGAUAAAAAGUGAAGGUUGAAGCUUAACUCGAUGACAUAUAAAUAAUAGGUAAGUUACUUUAAGACCCAAAACACUUCAACAAAGUCACAAAUAAAUUUUGUUUCAUCGAGUAUAAAUGACAUUAUCCAUUCUUUCUUCAAUCAUUAUAGAGGUCAUAAACAAGAAUCAAGAUGCAUCCUCUCUCUCAAAACAACGGUAAGAAUGUCAACAGCACAGGGCGCAUUGAGUAAUUAUAGCCUCCUCGCCUGCCUCCCAACUUAUCACCCCCUCUAAUCUUUGGAAAGCUAACCCCUUUAGCACAUCACUCAGACACAUUACUCAGGGAGCUGAGAUAGUGGAAAAUAUAAAUCAAAACAAUGGGAAGAAUGUCCAUAACACAGGGCACAUCGAGGAAUUAUAGUCUCCUUGCCUGCCUCCCAACUUAUCGCCCCCUCUAAUCUUUGCAAAGCUAACUCCUUUAGCACACCACUCAGAUACACAUUAUUCAUGGAGCUGAGAUAGUGGAAAAUAUACGUCAAAACAUCAGGAAGAAUGUCAGAACACAAGGCACAUCGAGAUAUUAUAGUCUCCUCGCCUGCCUACCUCCCAACUCACCACCCCCUCCAAUCUUUGCAGAGCUAACUCCUUUAGCACACCACUAAGACACACAUCACUCAUGGAGCUGAGAGAGUGGGAAAUAAACAUCAAAACAACAGAAAGAAUGUCAACAACACAGGCACAUCAAGAUAUUAUAGUCUCCUAGCCUGCCUACCCUCCAAUCUUUGUAAAGCUAACUCCUUUAGCACACCACUAAGACACACAUCACUCAUGGAGCUGAGAGAGUGGAAAAUAAACAUCAAAACAACAGAAAGAAUGUCAACAACACACGUCAAGAUAUUAUAGGCUCCUAGCCUACCUAACUCCCAACUCACCACCCCUCCAAUCUUUGCAAAGCUAACUCCUUAAGCACACCACUAAGACACACAUCACUCAUGGAGCUGAGAGAGCGGGAAAUAAACAUCAAAACAACAGAAACAAUGUCAAAUAACACAGGGCACAUCGAGGAAUUAUAGUCUCCUCACCUGCCUUCCUCCCAACUCACCACUACCUCCAAUCUUUGCAAAGCUAACUCCUUUAGCACACCACUAAGACACACAUCACUCAUGGAGCUGAGAGAGUGGAAAAUAAACAUCAAAACAACAAAAAGAAUGUCAACAACACAGGCACAUCAAGAUAUUAGAGUCUCCUAGCCCGCCUACCUCCCAACUCACCACUCCCUCCAAUCUUUGUAAAGCUAACUCCUUUAGCACACCACUAAGACACACAUCACUCAUGGAGCUGAGAUAGCUCCAAAUAUACAUCAAAACAACAAGAAGAAUGUCAACAACACAGUUACACAGAGCACAUCGAGGAAUUACAGUCUCCUCGUCUGCAUCCCAACUUACCACCCCCUCUAAUCUUUGCAAAGCUAACCCCUUUAGCACACCACUCAUCUACAACUGCAACAGCUUGGAGGGGGUGCUAUACGAAUCCUUGAUACACAAAGAUAAAACGAGAAUCACUAGAUCGCUCGUUUUCCAAUCAUUUAAAACAAAAAUCAAAACCAACCCACACUAGAAAACAGCAAAAUCAUCAACACCCAACUCAUUAAAACCACUACUCAACAUCAAUGAAUCAUAAAAACACAAACUUUCAAUCAAACAAAAACUUACACAUAAAAAAAUCUAUAAAAUACAAGAAAAAUCGAAUAAAAAAGGAAGUUACAAGAAUAAGAAGAGUAACCUACUUGAUAACGAUUUGAAGUUUGUUAAAGAAAGAUCUGAAAGAUUUGUGAAUUAGGGUUUUCAAAGACUGCAGCUUUUUUUUCUUCUUCCAAAAAAACUCCUCGGAUCUACGCCGCGGAGUUGAGGAACCACAAUAUCUGAAGUAGAAUGAGUUUUAUGAGUGUGGGUUUUUUUUGUUCUUUUUUAAAACUUUUGGGGGGUAAAAGAAUAUUAUAAGAAAAUUUGGGGGUGUAAGUGUAUUUUAGAAAAUUUGGACCGCUUCAAUAGGGGAAUUGUAUUCACUAACGUGGAUUCCACAAAUUGAAAUUGAAAAAGAAAAAAAAGGUUUAUCAUAAAAGAUGAAACGAUAAUGACGAUAAUAAUAUAUUCAGUAUAAUUUUUAAGUAAAAUUUUAAAAAUAUGAUAUGUUUACAAAUUUUAUGUCUAUAUUUGAAGACAAAAAAGUAAUUUUUUAAAAUAAAAUACUCAACUCAAGUUAAAUAAUUUAAAACAGACUUGAAAAGGAAGAUGAGAGGAGGGAGUGGAGAAAAAAAAAAGGAAAAAUAGACAAUGAGACUUUAAAAGUACAAAAAAUGAACAAAUUGUCAUCUUAAAAAAAUGCCAUUUAAAAAAACAAUCAAAAAUUUUAAACUCUAUCAAAUUUAACUCUGAAGGUCAUAUUUUAAUUUUUUACGUCUCAAGUUUUUAACUCGUAUUGAAGUUUGACUCAAGUAUCAUAUAAGAAAUUUCUUUUUUUUAAAAAAAAAUGUAUGAAGUUUUAGUUUAAAUAGUUUAGAUUUUAAACUUCACAAAAAUUAUUAGUCACCUAACCACAAUUAAACUAAGACCCGUUAGUCUGAUGUUUGAUUAAAUUUUAGAACUUGACUUCUAAUUUUGAUAGUUCAACCUUUAUGAGCCAAAGAUAUGAAGGAGGAAGAAGAAAACAUGCCUCAUGCAAUUUUUACUUUUUUUCCCCACACAUAUGUGGAAGUUCAUUAUUAGUGUUUUUGUACGAAUUAUUCUUAUUUUAUGGUGAUCUUUAAUUUUUUAUUUUUCUAUUCAUAGAAUACAAAAUUUGUGGGUCAAAAGAUAUGUAAUUAUGACCUAAUUUCUCACGGCCAAACUUUUUUCUUUUAGAGUGUUUGCUUUGGGAUAUAAGCUAUGUAGUAUAUGCACAUGGCAAAACUUUUAGAGACAUAAUUUGUAUGGUUGCACUUAUGCCUUGAAGCAUAAUUUGUGUCUUGUGCAUACUUUAUUUUAUCUUAGGGCAUAAUUUAUGUCGCUAAAUUUAUAUUCUGAGAUAUAACUUGUGACAUUGCACUUGUGUCUUGGAGGCAUAAAUUGUGCUUUGUACCUAAUUUGUUUUACUUUAGGGCAUAGCUUGUGUCACUGAACAUAUGUCCUAAUUUGUCAAUAAACUUAUACUUAAGGCAUAACUUUAACUGAACUUAUACGUUGCGAAUUUUUUGUCUUGCUUUUUACUAUUUGGAGCAUUUUGACUAUUUUUUAAACUAACAGUUCUAAAGGAUAAUAAUUAAAAACUAUCAAUUUUGAGAGGUAAAAGAUGAAGAUUGGGCCUAAUUCUGACUAGACAUCUGUCUAGACAAUUUUCUAUUUAGACACAAGGAUUAGAAUAGUAAAUACUAAUUCAUAUGGGUGGCUUACAACAAAAUAAUGCAACCCUUUUAUAAUUAAAUGAUUUAAUAAAGUAAAAAUAUAUAUCAUUAAAUCAUAUGAUUAGAUGUAUGUGCGUAUAUUUCAACAUAUAUUAUUAUUUAUUGGCUUGAUAAAAAUACUUGAUACUGAUAAAAAAUUAUAAUCAUAAAAUUGAAAAGCAGAGUACUCAUAGUACGAAAAAAAAGUGGACACCAUAAUUAAUUCUCUCUUUAAGGGUUGAGAAGGAUCAAAAUCUAUAAGAUGGAUAAGAAAGCUGGAAAUGGUGAGAACAUCAAAAUUUAAACGUUAUGAUCAUAACAUAACUAAUGAUAUGAAAGAGGUCCAAUUAAAUACCGUUCAUUCAAAAAAAAAAUAUUAGGUAAAUAAAAUAAUAUUUAUGCGUAAAUUAAAAUUAUUGUAUCUCCUUAACAUAAAAGAAGUUUUUAGGUAUUUUAUUUCUCUUGUUAAUUCCUGGUGAAUAGAUCAUAUAAAGAUAAUAUUAUCAUUGUUCUAAAGCUUCCCUACGAACAAGUAUAUAUAUACAGAUAUAAAAGCUUUGUAAUAUCUAAUUAGGGAGAAAGAGAACGGAAGGUGACAGAUAGAGGGUGAGCACGCAUAGCUUCAAACAUCCAUAUAUACUAUAAUGUAAGAAAAUACCAUGUGUGCUCACUCUCUUCUGUCACCUUUCUUAUUUAAUUGCCGCUUUUAACAAUCACUAAUACUUACAUUAAAAUAGACUGACUACAAUAUUAUAUAUUUUUUGAGAUGCACUUCCUCUCCAAAUCUCCAAAUCGUGCUAAUGCAAAAUACUUUGUUCAUCGAAAUCCCUUUCUGUAUUUAAGAAAGGAACAAAGAUUAUGAUUUAUGAUUUAAUUUGUGUGAGGAAUUAGUGUGUGCUCUUAUGGACUUUAUAUAGAGGAUGAAAAUAACCAGACAGUUCCAUCAUGUAAGGAAUAAAUAUGUCUAUCUUUAUGUGUAUAUACUUAAUAUUUUAUGUAUAAUAAUAUAGAUAGGGAUCAUUUAUAUGUGCACACUGAAGUCAUGAGAGUUCAAUCCAAAACUAAUUUAUAAAUAAAAAAAUAUUCUUUAUUUUUUAAUCAUUUAGUGUUUGGAAUCUGCAUUGAAACUCUGAUUAAAUUUAAAUCGUGUAUUGCAGGAUCAAUUUGGGGGUGACACUCCUAAUAAGAUUUUCUCUAUAUAUAUCCGAGACUCAAAUCUGAAACCUCUUAUUAAGGAUGGAGUAGCCUCAGCACUGCACCACAACUGAUCAGGUUGAUAACAUAUUCAAUAUUCUAUAAACUCAAUAGUAAUACUCUAUACUCUUUGCAAUGAAAUUCAUUUUUUAGGUGGAUUGAACUAGUAAAUGAAUGAAUUAUAUUAUUGAUUCAUAUUGAUCAUGUUUCAUGGACUAAUUUUAUCAUUUGAUAUAAAUGUUGGGUUUAGGUGAUCGCUUUGAGUCGCGUCCUCAAGCAUUAAUCAACCCGCUUCAUUAAUAAUUGUUAUAACUUAUAGGCGGAAUAUGUAAAAUUAAUCUGAAAGACUAGUUUAUCAAGUGAGAAAAGAGCACCUUCAACAUAUAAGAUAUAUUUCUUUCUUGAUAAUCUUUCUCAGAAAAUAACUACUCUCGAAUCUUGACAUGUAAUGUUUUUUUUCAUUCGACGUUUAAAUUUGAAUUCGGAUCGAGAACUAUCAUUUUGAUUUUUAUAUUCUUAAAGCCACGAGAAAUAUCUUUUAUGGUGCAAAAGCAGCAUAAAGUAUAUAUGCUUUUUAUUAAUUAAUAAUUAAAUACCAAUAAUGCUGGAAAAAAAAAGGAAAAAGGAACCUUUGACCAAAUGUUGAAAAAAGUGACGUGUCCACUUAAUGUGUAGUCUCAGUCUGCUAAAAUUUAACAAAUUCCCCUUAUUCUUUUUUAAAUAAAAUAUAAUUUUAAUUCCACUUUGAGGGUGCUUAGAUUUGAUGCUUAAUUAGUGUAAACUACUUGCAAUAAUCAAAUAAUUACUUUCGAGAAAAAUAUUAAGUGAUUUUUUUUCAUCUGUCCUUGUCGUAGUAGAUAGAGUUAUAUGAUAUUUGUUGUCAGUAAAAAGUGACAAAUAUCUCGUGGAAUUAGUGGAAAAGAAAGUUGACUUGAACACCAUGAUUAAUAAAAAAAACAAAGAAGAUUAUAAUUAUCCUUUGUGAUGAUUGUCACGCAUAUCAAUACACUAAUCGUGUUGAAUAUUUAAUCCAAUCAUUAAGCUCUUAAUUGGUUAAUCUAAUUUAGUUGAAUAUUGACGAAAUCAUCCACAUUUGGAUUGGAUACCACAUAACAUUAACUAAUUUUAAGUUUAUGUUUAUAUGUUUGGAUAAUAUUCACCAAAACUCUCAUUCAAGAGGUCUCGAGUUCAAGCCCCGAAUAUGAAGUCGUCUUUGAUUGAAAGUCUUCCUAUCAAACGACCCUUGUUGACUUGAUGUAAACACUAGGUGCAGUAAGUUUUUACACCCUAGUAAAUGUAGGUAGCCUUAAAGCUAAAUAUUGUACUAUUGACUCGGUAUCCGGUACUAGCUUUGGGGCUGACUACUUCGGGUUCAUGCUGAAAAGUCUCAGUUUUGAGGUAAAGCAGUCCCUACCAGAAAUGAUUUCAUAUCUAGGACUCGAACCCGAGACCUCUGGUUACCACUCCAUCACAACCUUUUCGUGGUGAUGUGUAACAUAAGAUGAUAUAACAUACAUAAGAAUUUAAUUGGAACAGAGGCAGCAUUUCAAAAGAUUGGAACAACAUUUUAUAUAUCAGAAGUUGUCCAAGAACAGGUAAAAAUGUCGAUAUGUUCAUCAUAUCAUCACUCAAUUUGCUAAUGUUUCAACAAGGGAAUACUCUUAAGUGAUCAUUUUUUCCUUAAACUUCAGUUAGAUUAACUCGUGAAAAGGGAAAAUGAACGAUACAGCUGAUGUUUACUGCACUCGAUUAAAUGUUGGUAAUGGGAAGAAGCCACAGACCUGAGUUGACAGUAGUUUAUCCAUCAUGUGUGGGAGCAAUCUUUGAGUAUGCACGGGGGGCAAAGUUUAGCUAACCGAUACCUGGCAUGCUGCUCAUUCCGAAUUCACUAAGCCUAGUAAGCUCAGGAACUACUACUGAACCAAGAUCAGGUCUGUCUUUCUUCCUCAGCUCAGCACACUUGAGUGACAAUUUUGCAAACUUAAGAGCCUCUUCCACUGGCCAAUUUGGCACUGUUGGAUCUAAAAAAUCUGCAAAUUUACCUUUCUCGAUGGCCCUUUCAACGUGAUGAGUUAAACCCAUUGGAGGCCUUGCAGUAAUAAUUUGGAGCAACAUAACACCAAGCGAGUAUAUAUCUGAUUUAGUCUCUAACCUUCCCGUUUGUUGAUAUUCAGGAUCUAUAUAACAAAAAGUCCCGGCAGCUGAAGUCAUAUGAUAUUGUGUCACACAAUCAGCUACAGAUGAUGGCACUAACCUUGCCAAACCAACAUCACUGAUUUUGCAGACAUAAUUUUUGUCCAACAGAAUAUUUCCUGGCUUUAGAUCCCGGUGAACAAGAGGUUCUGGUUUUGAUUGAUGAAGGAAUAGAAGCCCGGUUGCAAUCUCAGCAGCAAUUUUGAAGCGAAUUUCCCAUGGAAUUGAAGGGGUAUUACCUUUCCGAAAAAGACGAUCUUCCAAGCUGCCAUUAUUCAUAAGCUCAUAAACUAAGCACCCAUACUCAGGACAUGCACCUAAUAGUAGCACCAGAUUUGGAUGCCUAAUGAGACUGAGGACCUCAACCUGUAAAUGAAAAAAACAUUUUUCAUGUGCAUCAGCAGGCGGCUUGUCAAAUACUCAUACUAACACCAAUCAACAAUUUAACCAAGAAAGAGGGCUUCUAAUAAUAGUGUAGCAUAGAUGAGAGAGUACAAGCAACAACAUCUUUUAGACAUUCUAGUUAUAGCAAGUGAAAAUCUGUCCCAGUUACAUUAGUAAAUCAUCAUUUUUCAAACAAAAGUUUCAUUGGACAUCUCUGAGACGGGCUCAUCUACACAAAGCUUAUGCGCAUAAUAGAGAAGCUUUUAGAUAAAGCAUACAUACUUGAAAUAAGAAAUAACUACCAUGAUAUGCAUUAGUCAAACAUAUUCCUGUUAUCCAUUAAUCAAAAGAAAUCAUGUCAUGCACCAAACUGCAUCAGUAUAAAUGCAUUUUCCACUUUCUACAAUUUAUCAUGAUUCCCUCGAUUGCAUCGUGUGUAAUUAACUCCAGAAGUGACUCAAUGAAUGCACAAAUUCUACGGAAAAUGAAGUUGUUCAGCCCAAAUAAUGCAGAAUGUUUCAUAUCUUAAAUACAUAUUGUAAAAGAGAGGGUAUCACUGAACUAGGAAUAUAAGCGGUUACCUCUUGUUGGAACUGUUUCUUCCCUUGUGCAGCAUCAGGACUCAGAACUUUAAUGGCAACAGGUGUGUGAUCUAGUUUACCCUUAAAAACAGGUCCAUAUCCACCUUCUCCAAUUUUUUGUGCAUUUGAGAACUUUUUGGUGGCUGCCUCAAUCUCUUCUAUUGUAUACUUCCUAUAACGUAUAUCAUUCUGAGAUCGAACAUUCAUUGCUUGUUUCUUUUUUUCUGUCUCUCGCUUAGCUUUUAACUCUGCAUACUUCCUUCUUUGUGCUUCUAUUUCAGCCAUCUUUUGUGCUUUCUUAGCAGCUUCAAUAGCAGCUCUGCAUUUAGCCUUUUCAGUCUCAGCAAUUGCGAGAGCCGCCUCUUCAGCAAAACGGGCUUGUUCAAACUUGCGAGCUUCUUCAAUUUUCCAUUUAUUAAGCUCAUCAGCCUGAAACUUAGUAGAAAUAUGAUACAUGAAAAACUAAAACUGACUCCUGGAUAAGAAGAGGGAGAAAGCCUUGGUCCUUAAGUUUGAUGUCAUAAAUUUGUAACUCGUUUUUCAGAAACGUAAACAACUGAUGCGAUGCUAUUUCUUACUCAUAUAUAGAUAAGAAUUGUACUAACUUUUAACAAUUAUUUCAGACCAUAUAUAUUCCUUGGAGGAAUAACUUCCCAUAAAAAUGCUGAAUGCACUCAUGUAGUUUUGGGAGUUGGGAGCCGCAUGGUUCUAUGUAUGGUAGUAAAAAUUGUAGAAACAUGAGUUCCCUUAUAAUAUCUUUUAAAUAAUUGAACUAUUAAACAAGGUUUCUUGAAAAUAUGAUUUGCAUAAUACAAUGCAAGUUCUAUGUUUAAUAUAGUUAGGCCCAUAUAUUUAUCUCUUUCUUGCUAUUUUAGAUGGUCUUCAUCUUUAUGGUUCUAGGCAGUUAGAAAAUGGGCUAUUACCGCUUGGUUGGCCAUGACCGCUUCUUUGCAAGCUGCAUUGUACAUAUCCAUAGUUUGCCUUAGCUCAAGUUUUAGUCUUUUCAUCUCAGCAUCCACCUGCAAUAUCACAUAUGACGAAACAAAGAUUAUUACUAAACAAUUUUGAUACUUUUCACAUAAUGGAAAUGCUUAUAAUGUCUAUUAAGCAACAAAUUUGUGUUACAGUGUAGUUCAUAUGAUUGAUUAUAUUGCACUUACUGAAUAUGAGGAGCUUCCAUUCAUAGGAGUUUCUCUGAUGGCAACUUGUGUGAAGUCAAGAUUUUCGGACGUCAUAUCAACUGAUCUAGGGCUAAUACGAGCAUACCGCAUAUUACCAUCUGGUUGAGAAGCGUGCUUAUAUGGAUUUGUCAUCUCGGGAGAAUGAAGAUUAUCUAUCGGUACAAUAGAUGGUCCUUUUUCACCCCUCGUCUUCUCAGAUUCUACAAUUUUUUGCUCUGACCUCAUGUAUGAAAACCUACUUUGUACCAUUGAUUCAUUAAAGUUAGAGAUAGUACAGAAAGAAUUAACACUUUUGCUUAGAGCAUAAGGGUUCUUAAUUGUUCAUUCAUCUAUUUCUUAGUUCAACAGUUCAAGCUUUUAACUCCAACUACUAUGAUGAGGUUUGAAAUACAAGCAAAACUUCUAAUUUUCAGUCUGAAUUCAAACACAAGUUUUUCGAAUAAUAUUUACAUAUGUUGGAACUACCUAAACAGUAAUAUAAGUCACGAUAGUUAAUAAUUCGAAUAGAAAAAAGAUGACAGUCAAAGAAAAAAGUGUUCGACUCCCCUAAAUAGUGUAAUCAGGAGUAGUACAUAAAAUGAGGACAUAAUAAUAUGUUAGAAAUAAACAAAAAGAUUGUUUGAGUUAACACUAGUAUGUCCCAUAUAUUGAUUCUUUUUUUUUUUUGAUAACUGAGAAAUCCGUCUGUGACCUGCCCUUUGGACCAAUCACAGCCUUCUAAACUCGGUGGAUAAUGGGCCCACCCCUCUACCCUUCUCCACUUAAAUAUCGGGCUCGCUUUGCAUGGUGUGGGGCUUGAACCUGCGACCUAAGUCACAAAUCCUCCACCUUUUGCCACUUGAGCUAGGCCUUGGGGGCUGUCCCAUAUAUUGAUUCUUAAAAUCUUAUUUAACUACUUAUCCUUUUACCAAUCCUCAUAGCAAACUGAAUUAAAAAAUUGCCAACUUACUAAACUAAGUUUAGUUGCUCUGCAUUCAAAAUGAUGUGUGUUGUAAAAGGCAUGACAAGUAUUCUUUUGAUACUUCGGGUUCAAUUCAUAAAUAUCAAGUGACACGAGAAAGUUGUAAUAAAUCCAUCGAAGAUAAGGACAACAAAAUGAAAACAAGAUUGACCAAUUUUAUAUCAUCACUUGGUUAUUUUAUACCUGGUUGAAUCUUCUGAUCCAGAGUUACUUGACCUAGGUGCUGACCAUGCUGAUGAAGAUGGUUGUCUUGCUGGUACAGAAGAAGGAAGAGAUUUUGCUGCUGGUCGGACAGAUUGUUGCUUGCCUUUUGAAACUACGUAGACAGAACAAAACUCUGGUGCAGCCUUAUUUACCAAUGUUGGCACAUCAUGAGUCCAAUAUUUUCUGCAACAGAAGUAAUAUAAGCCAAGCUCUUUCCUUUGUAAUGAAGAAUAAGCAACAGAUACACUGAGAGAUAAUAACCUGCCAAGAGUACUCCUAGACGAUGCACCAAGAACAAUGUUGCUAACACUGUGACUGUUGAUGUACUCAAGAAGUCCCUUCGAUGCUUCAGUAUUCUCAAUGACAAUCUCUUUCACUACUAUCUGCAAUAACCUCAACAACCAUUUAGAAUAAAGUAAGAUUUAGUUAAAUUUCCAUCAUGGGAGGAGCCCGGUUUCAUCUAAACUUACAUGAUGCUACACUAGGUAACUUACAAAUUACUUUGAAUGUGCAAAACACUCAAGUAGAACAAGAGAUUUUAGAAGGAAAAAAGAACAUAAAACAGACUUUACGAGACAAAAACACCUAUUUCUAGUGAUCUUGAAAACCAUACAGAGGACAAUCUGGUGUUUAAGCCUCUUAACCUAUGUUACUAACGUCAAUGUUGCUCGGACUCUUCAUAAAUGUCAUCGGGUACUUGUCGGACCCUUCAAAAGUAGUGCAUUUUUGAGGAUCCAACAUGGAUGCGGCUACAUUUUUGGAGAGUCCGAGCAACUUAGACUAACGUAAAAGACAAUAAAGACUUCUUCGUUAUUGUAAAAUGAGAAGGUUAAAGUUAAUGAACUUUCAAAUAUAGGAGUAUUGUGUUAAACAUAACGGAUUACAAAGGAAAAUAAAGGAUCAAACCAUGCUUGGAGAAGAAAAGAGAGUGCUAACUUAUCAUGGAUUAAUUCACGUACCCUUUUGCGUGCAGAAUAAGCCUUGAAAGGUAUGAAGACAUUUUGAGUACCUUCAUCACUUAAUCCUCCAUUUGAAUCUAAAGUAGCUUCAUUUCCACCAACCACAACAAAUUAGCAUCAGUGUCACAAUAAACAACUAAAAGUUCAAAUUAUUUGAGUUAUAGAAAGAUGGCAAUUUGGGAAAUCAAAAACACUUUUAAAAAAAAAUAAAAAUAAUCCAAUAUUCAAAGCCCACUAGCCUGACUAAUGCGGUUUUGGGUCCUAUAGGGUCCAUAAAAGGGAAACAACUGCCUAACAAGAGUUUCUCCAUUCUUACGGCUCAAACCUGUUACCUUUGGUUAAGCGUGGAGAGUACCUAUCCAUUCUACCACACUCCUCACCGUAAAUCAAAAGCACAUUUAACUAAUAUUGGUGCAAUAAAAAGCAUUUACGUUCCCCUUACAAAGACUUAUUCUAAUAGAAAAUAGAAUUUCAAAUUUCUUCCCAAACAAAAUUAUUGAUCCCAAUUACAUUUAUCAAACAAAUGACUUUUUUAUAUAAAAAAAAGAAGUAGUGUUUGAGUCCGUUUGUGCGCACCUCAACUAACUCCACCGUACCUAUUAACUCCGGCCAGUACUAGGAUCAAGGGAAGGAUCCAAUCGAUUUUACUAGGGAAAAGGGUCUAAUAUACCCUUCAACUUUGUCAUUUAGAGCUGAUAUACCCCUCGUUAUAAAAGUAGGCACAUAUAUACCCCCUACUGUUAUACAAAUGGCUCACAUAUACCAUUUUCCUCUAACGGAAGUGAAAAAAUUAAUUUUAGUUUAAUUUUUUUAAUUAUUUUUUAAAAAAAUAUAAUCCCAUAUGGGUAUAUUUAAUCUUCCUCAAACAUAUAUUAUUUUUUUAAACUUUUUUUUGUUUCAAUGACUAAUCUAGAUUUAUUAUUUUGAUGGUCAAAUUUAUUUAACUUUUGCUAAUAUUCUUGUAAAAUUUAUUAUAGAUGACCCAAUUUUUUUUCUUCAAAUACAAAAACUAAAUUACAAUAUAUCCGAAAAAAUAGUUUUAAAUUAUAAUAUAGCCACAAAAAAAUAGUUUUAAAUUUUUUUCUUUACACUAAGAAAUGAAAGAAAAAAAUAAAAUAAGAAUAAGAAACUCAAAUAAUGAUAAUCAAAAAGUCAAAAAAUAAUUUAUGUCCGAAAAACAUUAAAAUAUACCUUGAAAUUUGCUAGAAAAAUCAUAUAUACCCCUAAAUAAUUUUUGUAAAAAUCAAAAGUCAAAAAUAUAAAUUUAAAACUAAUUUUUCACUUCCGUUAAAUGAAGAGUAUAUGUGAGCUCAUUUUGUAACGGUAGGGGUAUAUGUGAGCCAUUUGUAUAACAGUAAGGGUAUAUAUGAGCCACUUUCAUUACGAGGGACAUAUCAGCUCCAAAUGACAAGUUGAGAGGUAUAUUAGGCUCUUUUCCCACUUUACUAUUCCUUGGUGAUAAACCAAAAGCACAUUUAACCAACAAUGAUAGGUGCACUAAAAAGCAAUAAGUUCCCCUUACAAAUACUUCUUUUAUAAUACAAAAUAAAAUUCUAAAUUUCUUCCCAAACCAAAUUAUUGAUCCAAAUUACAUUAUCAAAUGAAUAAAAAAAGGAUGCACUAAGCUCUCACUAUGCACGGAGUCUGAGAAAAGACCGGACUACAAAGGUCUAUCAUAGGGAACCUGCAUUUCUACAAGAGGUUAUUUCAACUAAAUUCAAACUCAUAACCUCCUGCAACAACUUUACCAGUAACGUCAUGGCCCCUUUCUCAUAAUCAAAUGAAUGACCAAUUUAUAGAUCCCAAUUACAUUAUCCUAAACUAAUUUCCCGAAUACCUAUUAUCUUUCACCAACACAUGUAUCGGAAUACUCUGUCCACCAUAACUUAUUUCAAUUCAAUUCAUUGACAUUUGACCAUUAGGGCAAACCAAACCUAGAAAUGUAAAUGAAAGAGAGAGAAGGUACCUACGCUUUGGUGAAUUCUUGACCCGAACAUGAACCAAUACAAGACUUUGAUUGUUUCCAAGCAGAUUAUCAAUAGCCCAUUUCACCGCAGAGCUGCUACUCUUAUCUUUAUCAACGGCAACAACAAUAGAAUCUUCCCCCGGAUUUUGGGAACCCAUUUUUUGUUCAUAAAUUUAUAUAUUAAACAGAUCGGAAAAGAGGCUGCCGCUACUUAGCUCCGCCCCUUUCCGCCACCAUAACGGUGGCUGGAAAAAAUUUCUUAGUUUUUUUUCACGUUUGACAAAAAUGGAAAAUUGGUAGAGCUGCAUGGAAUGGAAUGCCAUUAGUUUUGCCCAAAAGGAUUUGUGUUGUCUCCCAAAAAAAAUGGAUCAAUUUGUAUGGUGAUGUUUUAACUCCAUCCCCCCCACCCCCUAUUUUUUAUUGAUAUAAAACUCGUAAAAUAGUGAUAGUUUAAAUGUAUUUUUGAUGUGGGACGGUUUUGCUCGUGAUCACUUACACUUUGUUUGGAUGGUUGCUAUAUAUUGUUUCAUAAUGUAUUAGUGAUAUAUUGUAUCGUACCAUAUUGUUGUAAUGAAUAUAGUGUUUGGAUAGAUUAUAUUGUGCUAUAUGACAUUACAUAUUUAUAAUUUGGAUAGAUUGUAUUGUUCUCCAUCUUUGCUCGUGAUCACCUAGAUCCCUUUGGGGGAUGUGGGACGUCUUUGCUCGUGAUAUCACUAACACUUUGUUUGGAUGGUUGUUACGUAUCGUUUCAUAAUGUAUCUUAUUAUAUUGUGUUAUAUUGUAUUGUUCUAAUGAAUAUAAUAUUUGGAUAGAUUGUAUCGUUCUCCGUCGUUAUAUAAUGUUACACAUUCAUAAUUUGAGUAGAUUGUGUCGUCCUCCAUCUUUGCUCGUGAUCACCUAGAGCCCUUUGGGGAUGUAGACGUCUUUGCUUGUGAUCACUUACACUUUGUUUGAAUGGUUGUUACAUUUUGUUUCAUAAUGUAACGUAUUGUAUUAUGUUAUAUUGUAUCGUACUGUAUGUUCUAAUGAAUAUAGUGUUUGGAUAAAUUGUAUUGUUCUCCUAUCAUUACAUGAUAUCAUAUAUUCAUAAUUUGAAUAGAUUGUAUCGUUCUCCAUCUUUGUUCGUGAUCACUUAGAGACCUUUGGAUCGCAUAACAAUGCUUAUUGUGUUGGUUUGACAUUUCGAGGCAAAAUAAAAUGUCUAUAAUAAAGAUCCAAUUGUAAAGUCCAAAAUAAAACAUAAAAUAAUCAAAUGCCUCGAAUUUCAUCUCUAUCCAAUUUUAAUAUCAGAAUAGCGAUAGUCAUAAUUCAAUAGAUAGUCUACUUGCUUUUGUUGAUUUCUAACCUUUCAAAUGAAUUUCGUUAGUAUAAUAGAAAAAUCAAAAAUAAAUCUCUGUUCUUAUCGAAUAGACGAAAUAUUCCUACUCAAAUAAGAAAUAUUGUAAGUUACAACUCCACCAUGUGCACGGAGCACUGAUACCUCUGAUCUUAUUGACCACUAGAUCAAACUUUUUGAUUGCAUGUUAAAAUGUAGGUUAACACAUAAAUAUCCUCUCGACCUGUCCCCGAAUUAUCAACUACACACUUAUAAGUCCAACGCAAAGUUUAGGUGUGUAGUUGAAAAUUUCGGGGAGAUAUUUAUGUAUUAUCCUUUAAAAUAUGACACACAUAAAGUACAAGACAUAAUGUCAAACAGUAGGUUAAAAUACCUACAUAGAGCCUUUUAACUAUGGAGGCAGAAUGACCAUAUUACAUUUGAUUAUAAUGUAGUAGUUUUUGCUACUUCAAAUAGCUAAAUAAAGAAAAUUACAUAUAGAAUGGAGCAUGUACUAAAAUAAAUACAGAAACCUACUCCAAUAAUAGCCAUUAUAUUUAUCCCAAGGUAAAAAAAAUGUAACACAAAUAGACGACUUACCUUGGCCUCAACGGACAAUUAUACACUUCAACUUUGAGAAUACACAUCUAGACACCUCAACUCGUCCCCACUGUGUCGUUGUGAACAACCGAUGUUGAU